GCUUAUUUAGAAAGAGCUGACCAAAUCACCCUCUGAUGAUGAUGAUCUUGUUGCAAUAUUACUGUUUCCAUUGACCCUCCUGCAGUUCAAUCUAAUCUCCCCUUGAUUUCCUGUCAGUGGUUUCAAAUUUCCCAUUCUUAUCAUUGAGGUCACAAAGUUUUUAAAGAAAGCAUUCUGGUUCCUCCCAAAGUCCUCGACAAUGGCAGCGGUAUCGGCACCAGGAGUCGAAAAUAACUCUUGAUCACUCUGCAGAAGGCCUUUGCGGCCUCUAAGAUUGGAGAAGUAUUUGUUGUCGAAAACAUCAGGUGUCGUGACAUCAAAAUUAGCAAGAACGCCGCCGUUUCCACCUUGUGGGCAUAGUUUCCUCAGUUGUUGUAAGAAGGUUGCGUCUAGGGUUGGGUCUGGCUUGCCAGUGUUGUUAAAAUCGUAUAAUCUGCCCCUGAAAAAUUGGCACUGAGCCCUUCCGAACGUGUGUGCUCCUGAAAAACAUGCAUGACCAAAUCUUUGUUAUUUUUACUGAAUUCACAUACGAGGAACAAUAAUGAUAAUUUUAUUGUUAGGGAUAUUAUUUAAAUUUGGAGUUAAGUAAAUAUAAAUUUAAGGCACCAACACUCAUUUCGUGAAUUAACUUUUGAGUAUGAGUUACUAGUAGCAGGCAGUUUUGACUCCUAAAAGUUUACUCUCAUAACUUUACUCAAGUAACUAAAAGGAUGUAGAAGCAAUUAAUAAUUACCGGAGAGUGCAACAAGAUCAAGCUUGUCAUUGAGGCCAACAUUUCUAAAACUAGAUUUGAGCUCAUCAAGAGUAUCAAAUGGUCCUGGAAGAUUCUGAUUUGCAAGAGCUCUGUUUGCCGUUCUGCUGUCUCUUCUUCCCAAUGGAACUGCCCAUGACGGACCCCCUGACUGUAACCAAGAGCCAUUCACUCAAAAUCAGCAAUAAUCUUAAGAGAUGUGCGUUUGGGGCGGACUAUUUAAUUUGCUAGCCGUUGAAUCAAAACUUUGUCGUAUAACAAAAGAAGAAAACUUUUAAGUUUAAAACUAAGGCCUUGCUACUACGAUGCACCAGCGCAGUAAAAAGUGUCUCGCUGUCGGUAACAAUUUAUCCGUCAAUAUUCACUAUAUUGCCAUACGUGUAGCAAUUUUGGUACCAUACAGUGUAGCUAAUGCACCAUAGUCAAUAAAUCACCCCUUUUAAAUAAUGGAGUCCACCACAUCGUCCGAAUUUAAAAAUGAUGGGUCCAAGGAUGAAUCCCUUCACUUAAAUCAACUUCCACAUGGUGGGACAAUUUUGUCGUUGAAUAGCAGAUGCAAUAACUAGCAAAGGCUAGUAAAGGCUAAACAUAGACAAUUUUGUCAAAAAAACUAGCAAAGGCUAAACAUGUGGACCCAGAUCUUGCACAUUGUUCUAUGUAAAUAAUUAUUUAAUUAAUGUAUUCUUCUAAGGGUAAAGUUGAACUCACGGGUUAUUUAAUUAACUGAAAAAAUAAUAUAAAAACACGUUAAAUUUAUAGGGGUUAUUAUUAAUUGAAAAAAAUAGUUAAAAAUUACAUUAAUACUGCAAAGGUUUACCAUUAUUCUCUUAACUUAUUCUGAUACCCAUAUUAAUUUACUUCUAAGCGUAAAAUAUUAACCAGGAAGAGGAGUUGGUAAUAGAAAUUCAUUACCAAAGCAACGGAUCGUUCAGCCGCAAUAGUAAGAAUAUCAGCGCAGGAAACAACCCUUGGACAUGCCCUUUCAACGGCAGCUUUCAUGUUAUCAAUAACUUCAAAACCCCUCGCCGAAUUGUUAUUUGGCGCAGCAAAUUUCUCGCUGUCUAUGGUGUUAGUGCUGUCCAGCAAAAUCGAUGCAUCACACCCCUGAAAAAAUAAUAUUAAUUAACAACUUGCUAUGUUAACAGUCCAUUGUAUUGUUAGUUUUACAAGUAGAUAGAUUCCUUCUUAUCUUAUGGACAGGAAUUCAAAAAAAUUAUAUAAAUAAUGCAAACUCUUCUUGUUUAAAUUGUCUUAUUAUUACAUAUGUUUUUAUGACUAGGAUUUCCUGUUGAUUUAAAUUUUCGGCUGGAAGAAUAUAAAACAAGUGUGAUUUAUUUUCAACCAUACACCAUUAAUAUUGGACCCAUGAUCAUUAAAAGCACUCAGCAGGGGUGAGGCCAUGAGAUGGAUUUUAAUUCCUGUUUUGGACCAAAUCUUUACUAGAUUAAAAUUUUUAGUGCAUGAAAACCCCAUAUUAAAAUUUAUUUAUAAAAAAAGAAUUACAUGGUCUUCGGUACAUCCAAAUUAGAGAGGAAAGUUUUGUUGUACGGCUGAAGCGAAAAAAUCAGAUCUUUUAGCUUGGGGUUGGGGGUGAGGAUCUCUACGUGCAUGAAUAUGCGGUCAGAAGAAGAAUGCAAUGAGUAGCAGACAGAUAAAAGAGAAAAUAUAUAUAAAUGGUUUUGGAAGUUGUUGAACAUAAAAUGAUAUAUUCAAACUCUUCCUUAGGCUUUAUGAAAACUCUAUAUUUUGUUUAAUGCCAUAAAAAAUUAUAAAGAUACUGUUCAUUGACAUACUUGAAACUAUGUUAUAUCAGUAAGUACAUGGACAGAGAGCUUGAUAAAGUAAAGAAUAUGAAAAAUGAGAGAGCAGAGAUUGCUUACAUCAACAAAACAGUCAUGGAAAUGAAGCCUGAUGAGGCUGGCACCGAUCCGGAUAUCGGACGAGAAAGCUUUCUUAAGCACAUCCUCGAUAGUGUUCAAUACAUUAGGGCAUGUGGAAGAAUAAAAAGAUGGAGAAAGUUGAGCUUGAGAUGGUGAUCCCUCAAGCACAAAAGCAACAAGAAGAGCUGCUGCGAGAAGAUAACGAAGUGAAGCCAUUUUGUCUAAGAGUUACUAGAGAAAGGCCUCUUUAUUUAUAACCAAACAAACCAGAUUAGUAUUAGAACUUUGCAGCAACCUCGAAGUUCCUCGUUUCACUGUUUGAAUAGGUUAGUUACGUUAUUAAUUCUCUUAAUUAGGUUUAUGUGAUUUUUUUCUUUUUGAAACUAACGUGGCCCAUGUGACCAUCUAAGUAAACUAUAUGGAUGUAGAUGUCUUUUUUUUUUUUAUUAGUAAAAUAAAAUAACUAGUUAAUUUUCUUUUUUAAAUUUCAUUCAAUUUUUUCUUUCAUGUUUAAAAGCUUAAGUCUUCAAUUAGAUUCUUCAAUUUUAAUUUUUUUUCAAAUACAAUAUACUAAUUACGGUGCAUUUAAAAUUAUAUUUCUUAUUUUCAUAAUGAUCUUGAAAUUUACAAAUAACCUUCGUUUUUGCGGAGAGAAUAUAAGAAAGAGGAAUAUUUGUUUGUAAAAUUUUAUUAAAAAAAAGUAUAAAUGAACGUAUUAGAAAUGCAUGUAUAUCAAACUUAUUUGAGAAUAAAAACUUAUUAAAAUGAAAUCCAAAAUCCUGAGUAAUUAUUCAUGAAAAGAGGGACUAAGUUGAUAAUUCUUGAAAUGGUGCCUUUAUUAGGUAGGGGCGGCGACGCCUUGAGUCGCUUUUGUUUAAUGCCGGCUUACCUGUCUCUUUUAUCGUAUGUGUGAAUGCGGAGCAUGUGGCGUGUGGAUUCCACGUAUUCGAAAUCCUUCAUUUCAACCUUUUGGAACUUUUCAUUUGUUUACCGAAAUGUCAAAUAUCAUUUUGUCAGCUUAUACAUAUUUAGAUGCGAGAUCGAGGCUUUUUAUGUGGAAAUGGUCUUGUAUCAAUAAUUAUGAUUUUACGUAUGGAUAAUUUUGUUAGAGUGUAAUUUAUGUAUUAAUUUUAAAUUUUUUUUUUAAUAUUGAUAUUUUAUACUUAAUAAUAGUGAUUUACUUGUGUUUUAUUUUUACAGGUGCAAUUCUAUUGAUUGGUGCUAAAAUUUAGUUACAAGAUGAUGUUUAAGGAUGAUUGUUCUCUUAGAGAAAUUAUGAGCGUCAGAAGAACUUUGUUGAUAAGACGUGGGCGCGUACUGUCAACUACGGACUGCAGUUUUUAGUUUAACGUGUUUUGUAUUUUUGGUUUUUUUGUAAUUACGAAUUUAAUAUUUCAGAUAUUAGUAUUUUAUUUUAAAUAGAACUCUAAAGGAGAAGAAAGAGAGAGUGUUUAAGGGAGGAAUCUAUUGUGAACCAGGGGAGAUUGGGGACAAAAAGGAAGAAAUCCUAGAUCUAAACUUUUUUCUUCUCUCUAUGAAGAACUAAAACUAUUUUUCUGGUUGAAGGAUAAUGAAACUUUGAUUCAUCACUACUGUGAGAUCUUUCUUAUACUUUAAUUGUUUUAUUACUUUUUGGGUAUUUGUUUAUUCUCUAAAUUAUUCUCAUGAUUAUGUUUGUUAAUUAGGUAAUUGGCCACUAUUUAAUUAUCAACUUAAUAUAUUGUCAAUUAAAGGAUUUAUCGUAUGAAGAUUUUAAUGUUUGUGACAAAUAACGUAGCAGUGAGUUGUGUUAUGAGAAUAAACAAUCUAAUUUAAAUGAACAAUCAUAUGUAUUUGUUGAUUAUGAUUUGGGUCUCUCUGGUUUUUCAGGCUGUCAAUUGAUUAAAUCCUAUGAUCGUAUCUAGGGUUGUCUAUUGAUUAGGGAAAUAGCCAACAGUCGUACCUUGGUUAUCAACUAGUUAAGGAGAGAUUGACUAUUAGAGGGUCUCGGUAGCUAUAACUGGUCUAUUUAUAAGUAGUAAUAAUUUAUAUUUAAAUCAAUGAUCAGUAGUCGAAUCAAGCUGAGUUAAUUCCUUCAACCAGAGCUUUCUCCAAUUUGAAUUACAACUUUAAUUUGCAUUCUUGUUAUUUUAAUUUAAUUUUUAUUAUUGUCAACAAAACCCCCAUUUUAUGUUUUACGUUUCAAAAGGAUUUAAAUAAUUACCGAUCUCUGUGGACACGAUCCUGCUCAAUCACUAUCCACAAUUUAUUCAUUCGCAACAAAAUAUUUUCUUUGUGCGGCGGUAAAAAAAAAAUGAUUUUUUGGAGAGAGACUAUUUCACCAAUCGAGUCACAGGUAUCUAACAUUUAAGUCAUAGUUAUUAUGGACUUGCCUAUCGUGCAACAGUGGCACCAUGCCACCGCUUUUGUCUUUUUUUGUGUAAAAUUUCAUAAAGUCCUUUCACUUAUUCUUAUUUGAACUUUCCUUCACAAAUAUUAAGUUCAUUUCUAUCAAACCCGUGAAUCCUUCAACGGCCGAUCAACGGCAAAUCGGCUCCUCCGGUGGCUGUGGUUGGUCAGAAAAGACAGAGGGAACUGUGGAGAACAAAGCCCAAGUAGUGGCGUCACCGAAAACCGGAGAAACCGCGGCGAAUUGAAGCAGGAUUUUGUGACUUUUCACGGCUUCGAUCGGCAGCUUUCCGAAUGUUUUACGGCGACAAGGAUGACAUGGAGAUUACCGGCGUCGCACAAGCUUCCGAUCGAUACCAACCUUGGCUGGUGGAGUAGCCGGAAACGGAAACAAAAUCCGGGUCAGUUUCGCGAGUCGGGUUGACCCAGUUAUUUUUGCUACAAGGAUGGCGUGGAGAUAACCGGCGUCGCACGAUCUUCCGAUCGGUACCAACCUUGGCCGGUGGCGUGGAUAAAAAUGGAAACGAAAUUCGAGUCGGGUUCACUGGUAUUUGUGAUAAAGAGAGGGGUAUUGUAAUAAAGGUGCAAUAUAGAAGAAAAAUGUAUAAAUUGCAAAUAGUAUAAGGUGCUAUUUAUAAUGUUUAUAUGGAUGCAAUAGAAAUUAAUUUAAUAUUUAUGAGGUAAAGUUUAAAUAAAAAUGAAUGAAAGGGGUUCAGAGACAUUUUACAACACUGUUGACACAAAAGAUAACUAUGAUUGUACCGUAGGAUCCAGUUAUUAUAGUCAAAAAAAUAAUUUAUUAAAUAAAAAUUAAUAAUAUAAUAUUUAAAUAAUAAUUUUGCUAAAAGUAGUAAAGAUAUUAGAAAAUUUUCAUCGUGAGUUUAGAUCAUCUCAGUUUUUAAAGUACAGAAAUAAGCGGUGGUUCUCUCACGCGGACACCCGUAGCUUAAAAAAUAUGCGGACACUCACGUUUUGACCGUUGGAUCCCAUCAACGGCUGAAUUAAGUUGUGACGUAAAGACAACUACUGACAUUUUCGGCAUGUAGGCCCGGUCUUCAAAACUUUGAAAAAAAAAAAAAACCAGUUCUUUUAUUCAAUGGCACCAUGUGAGUAUAAAAGCACAAUAAUUUCUUUCCUUUUUUUCCCCCAAAACUAACUUGUUGAUUUUUAUUUGGGAAAUUUUUAAACUAACCUCAAAUAAAUUGAUAUCUUGCACGGCGCAUCUAAAAAAAUAACGUGUUGCACCGCGUCCUCAAUUCUAUUAAUUUUUUAGUUAUUUUUAAUGACUCUGUUUAACUUUUGAUUGAAUGAUAAAAAUACCUCUCUAUAUGAAAAAAAAUUUUUUUAGCUCAUUUAAUUUUUUUUAAGUUUUUAUUUCAAUUGCAAUAAAAAAAUUUCUUGUUACAUGUACAUUGUUACCACUAUUAUUUUUCCUUUAAUUUUUUAAAAAUUUUUAUUUCAAUUACAAUAAAGAGAAUUCCUAUUAAAAUUAAUUUAAGAAAUAAAUUUCUCAUUUUACCCCACCACUAUUAAAUUUAACUGAGAAAAUAACAAAAUUAAAAGCACAUGCAACAAGUCAAAUUUUUUAAGAACGCAGUGCAAAAUAUCCAAUUAUUUGGGGUAGGUUAAAAAUUUUCCUUUUUAUUUUUCAAUUUUCAAAGAUCAAUUUACAGUCAUCAUCAUCACCUUUUUUGCUUCUCCAUCUUUCCAUCAUCAAAAUUAUCCUUCCGAUCGAAGAAGAUGAAAGAAAGAAGAAAAACACACUUCGGUAAGUCACCCAAAAAAAAAAAAAAAAAACUUAACGACCCAUCUAAAUAAUCAAGCUGAAAGGUAUCUCUAACAGAAGAUUUUCUCAAAAAAAAAAAAAUUGAAGAAGAAAAACACAGGCCAGGACAUUCUUAAGAAACUUGAAAGUUCAUGAAAGAAAACAAAAUGAAGCAUUUAAGCCACAGGUAAGGAAUAUUAGAAGAUUAACAUGUUGGACACUAAAUUAUUUAAAUUAUUUAUUAAAUAAUUUAGUGUUAUAUUUUAAAAGGUACAGCGGUCUUACUUUAAUUGAAACCACAAGUAGGAGUUAAAUAAUUAAGAAACGACAGGAUGACUUUUUGAAAUGGGUAAAAAAUGAUUUUAUUAAUGAUCAUGAAAAAGGUAACUGUGGCUACUGGCUACAAGUGUUUUCUUUUCUGGGGAAAAAGGAUCAUAAUAAUUGCGAAAUGGUUUAGUGAAAUAGUACGGAGAUUUUAUUGGUUUUAGAAAUUAUAUAGGCUCUUUUUUGGUACACACAGACCCCAAAAAUUGUAAAAUAGAUUUUUAAAAUUUGUCCAAAAAUAAGUUUUGUUAUCCCAUAAAAAAGGUAUGUAUUGAGUAUUUCUGAAAAUAAAAGAUUCUUCCCUACUAUUUUGUCAAACUACGCAUGUUUGACAAAAAGUACAAAGAAAUUUGUAAGAAUAAGGUGUUUUUCCGGUUAGUAUUUUAAAGCUAGAGGAUAAAAUGGACCACUAAAAACAGAAAAAUGACUCAAAUGACAAUGUGUAUCGAUGACAUAGGAGAAAAAAAUACACAUGACAAGGAUUUCUGAUACAAAGAAAGCAAGGAUGUGAAUACACAAACACAACCUUAGUUUAUUGAAAAUAAAAAGCAUGUUUCAGGCAAAACAUAGGAGUAAAUUCACGAGUUUGUUACCCACAAACUAGCUUAUUUAGAAAGAGCUGAUCAGAUCACCCUCUGACGAUGAUCUGGUUUCUAUAUUACUGUUUCCAUUGACCCUCCUGCAGUUCAAUCUAAUCUCCCCUUGAUUGCCUGUCAAUGGUCUCAAAUUCCCCAUUCUUAUCAUUGAAAUCACAAAGCUUUGAAAGAAAGCAGCCUGGUUGCUACUAAAGACAUUGACAAUGGCAGCGGUAUCGGCACCGGGAGUCGAAAACAAUUCUUGAUCACUCUGCAGAAGGCCCUUGCGGAUUUGAAGAUUGAAGAAGUAUUUGUUGUCAAACAAAUCAGGUGUUGUGACAUCCAGAUUAGUUAGAACGCUGCCGUUUCCACCUUGUGGGCAUAGUUGCCUAAGUUGUUGUAAGAGGGUUGUGUUAAGUGUUGGGUCUGGAUUGCCAGUGUUGUUGAAAUUGAAUAACCUAUCGCUAAAAGUUCGGCACUGAGCCCUUCCAAAUGUGUGAGCUCCUGAAAAACAUGCAUAGCCAAUCUUUGUUAUUUUUACUCAAAUUCAUACAAAUUAAGGAUAAUAAUUGAGUUUCAUUAUGGUGGUUCUCUUGGGAAGCAAUUCAAAUUUCAUGAUGUGAUUAAGGGGAGUAAAUUUGUCAAACGUUUUAACAUAUUCCUAAUCACCAAUGUCAAACUUUAAAACACAGUUUCUUCGCAUCAUUAGGAUAUUCAGUCAAGCCUCCUAGGUGCUGUAGAGUAUGAAUGUGCUUUGUGUCGGUGGUCGUCUUAGUAAGAGUAAUAAUGAGAAAAAAAUUGAUAUUUAGUGGAUGAGACAUCCUUAUCAAAAUUUAUUUUUUUCUUUUUAAAUAAGAUAUUCAACAUUUAAACUAUCUCUAAGAUUUCAAGACUCAGUAUUGGCAUUAAAAAAUUUUCCACCUCCAGAUUUCUAAUUCUGGCUCCAAUACUGCUUUAUCCCAAAAGACUCCAAGGUCUGUUUGUACUCAAGUCAAAGGGCGUAAAAGCAAAUAUUACCGGAGAGUGCAACAAGAUCAAAAUUAUCGUUGAGGCCAACAUUUCUGAAUCUAUCUUUGAGCCUCGUAAGAGUAUUGUUCGGUCCUGGAAGAUUUUCAUUUGCAAGAGUCCUGUUUGCGGUUCUGCUGUCUCUUCUUCCCAAUAGAUUUGUCCAUGAAGGACCCCCUGACUGUUACCAAAACGACGAUCAUUAGUCAAAAGCAUCACUUGAGAGAUGCAUAAUAAGCAANNNNNNNNNNNNNNNNNNNNNNNNNNNNNNNNNNNNNNNNNNNNNNNNNNNNNNNNNNNNNNNNNNNNNNNNNNNNNNNNNNNNNNNNNNNNNNNNNNNNNNNNNNNNNNNNNNNNNNNNNNNNNNNNNNNNNNNNNNNNNNNNNNNNNNNNNNNNNNNNNNNNNNNNNNNNNNNNNNNNNNNNNNNNNNNNNNNNNNNNNNNNNNNNNNNNNNNNNNNNNNNNNNNNNNNNNNNNNNNNNNNNNNNNNNNNNNNNNNNNNNNNNNNNNNNNNNNNNNNNNNNNNNNNNNNNNNNNNNNNNNNNNNNNNNNNNNNNNNNNNNNNNNNNNNNNNNNNNNNNNNNNNNNNNNNNNNNNNNNNNNNNNNNNNNNNNNNNNNNNNNNNNNNNNNNNNNNNNNNNNNNNNNNNNNNNNNNNNNNNNNNNNNNNNNNNNNNNNNNNNNNNNNNNNNNNNNNNNNNNNNNNNNNNNNNNNNNNNNNNNNNNNNNNNNNNNNNNNNNNNNNNNNNNNNNNNNNNNNNNNNNNNNNNNNNNNNNNNNNNNNNNNNNNNNNNNNNNNNNNNNNNNNNNNNNNNNNNNNNNNNNNNNNNNNNNNNNNNNNNNNNNNNNNNNNNNNNNNNNNNNNNNNNNNNNNNNNNNNNNNNNNNNNNNNNNNNNNNNNNNNNNNNNNNNNNNNNNNNNNNNNNNNNNNNNNNNNNNNNNNNNNNNNNNNNNNNNNNNNNNNNNNNNNNNNNNNNNNNNNNNNNNNNNNNNNNNNNNNNNNNNNNNNNNNNNNNNNNNNNNNNNNNNNNNNNNNNNNNNNNNNNNNNNNNNNNNNNNNNNNNNNNNNNNNNNNNNNNNNNNNNNNNNNNNNNNNNNNNNNNNNNNNNNNNNNNNNNNNNNNNNNNNNNNNNNNNNNNNNNNNNNNNNNNNNNNNNNNNNNNNNNNNNNNNNNNNNNNNNNNNNNNNNNNNNNNNNNNNNNNNNNNNNNNNNNNNNNNNNNNNNNNNNNNNNNNNNNNNNNNNNNNNNNNNNNNNNNNNNNNNNNNNNNNNNNNNNNNNNNNNNNNNNNNNNNNNNNNNNNNNNNNNNNNNNNNNNNNNNNNNNNNNNNNNNNNNNNNNNNNNNNNNNNNNNNNNNNNNNNNNNNNNNNNNNNNNNNNNNNNNNNNNNNNNNNNNNNNNNNNNNNNNNNNNNNNNNNNNNNNNNNNNNNNNNNNNNNNNNNNNNNNNNNNNNNNNNNNNNNNNNNNNNNNNNNNNNNNNNNNNNNNNNNNNNNNNNNNNNNNNNNNNNNNNNNNNNNNNNNNNNNNNNNNNNNNNNNNNNNNNNNNNNNNNNNNNNNNNNNNNNNNNNNNNNNNNNNNNNNNNNNNNNNNNNNNNNNNNNNNNNNCAACGGCAGCUUUCAUGUCAUCAACAACUUCAAAACCCCUCGCCGAAUUAAUAUUUGGCCCAGCAAAUUUCUCGCUCACUAUGGUAGUAGUAUUGUCCAGCAAAAUCGAUGCAUCACAGCCCUGAAAUAACGUCAAAAACUCUUUCUGAUCAACUGCUGUUGUAUCGUUAAUUUAAUAAUUAGGUAGAUUCUUCUUAUCUUACGAUUAAGAAAAAUAAUGAAUAUUUGUGCAUUUUCUUUUUGGAUAAACAUACACAUAUAUACAAAUUUUCUUAUUGUAUAAUAAGUUUUUAAAACCAGGAUAUCCUCGUGACGUAAGCUUUUUCCGAGUUUAAUUGUGAUUAUUAGAAGUUAAGGAUAUAAGUGUAUGUAGUUAUAGUUCAAUCAUAUGCUACUAAUAAUAGGCAUGUUACACAAAAUUUUUAAAAAUACUAUGCAGAAUUCAGAUUAGGAGAGGACCUUAAUUCAUGUUUUAAAAUAUUAAUUGAAGAAGAAGAAAAAUUAAAGAGUAGAGAUUGAUUACAUUAACAAAACAGUCAUGGAAAUGAAGCCUGAUGAGGCUGGCACCGAUCCGGAUAUCGGACAAGAAAGCAUUCUUAAGCACCUCCCGAAUUAUGUUGGUUACAUUAGGGCAUGUGGAAGAAUAAAAAAAGGGAGAAAGUUGAGCUUGAGCUGGUGAUGAUCCCUCAAGCACAAAUGCAACUACAAGAGCAGCUGCAAGAAGAUAACGAAGAGAAGCCAUUUUGCAAUGAUGAGAAUGAGAGUUAUAUCUGCGCCUUCUAUAUACGCGCCUCUUUAUUUAUAGCCAACCAAAUUAAACAGGAGUAGAACUUGGCAACGACUAAGAAGUUUCACAUUAUAUUGUAAAAGUCUACUGUUUGAAAACAAUGGCUUAACUUAUAUGAUGAGAUAAUUACAUUAUCGAUUUUCUCCCUAAAGUUUGGUGAAAGCAUAUUUUUCUCCACAUAUUUUGAGGUGGUAAUGAUAAUUUAUUAAUUGCAUCUCAGUAUUCUAGAAGUAUGUCAAGUGUAGCUCGGUUGAUUGUGAAUGCAUUUUGUAUCUGUGAUCACCCAAGUUCUAAUAAUAAUAUGGGGCAAAGGUGGUUGUUUAGUGGAUGGGAUUUCUUGUCCCCAUAAGAGCUUUUUCUUUCUUUUUUCUUAUUAAACAAAAGAAAAGGCCAUACAACAUGGAUAUUAGAAAGGGACAAAACUCUUGUGCAACUGUUGUACCGUGUCACUAAUUUGUCUCUUAUCUUUUGACCCCUACUUUAUUUUUUAUUUAUAAGUUAUUUAUAAAUUUAUCAUAAAUUUAUUUUUUCUCUUUUCCUCUAUUUAUAUUAAGAUAUUCUAUACAUUUUUUCUCCACUUAGAUAAUUAAUUAAUCAUUAGUCAGCAACUCGGCAACUCCUUUCAAAUUAAAGUAUUAUUAACUAGCCGACUACCUCAAUUAUUUUUCACAUCACAACUAAGACAAAAUGCAAAAAUUUAAUUUGAAUAUUUGAAUGGCAAUUGUGAGGUCAUGGCAAUUGAAUAAAUUAAAAUAAUAAAUCAAAUCUAUCGGUUAUAAGUGAUUGAUGUCAUAUUGAUUUAUAUCUAUAAAUAAAGUUUGAGUUUUAUUAUUUUUGAAUAACUAAUAACUUUCAAAUUAAAUUUUAUUGUAGUUAUUUAUAGUUUUACAUCUAUAAAUAACUAAUAACUUUCAAAUUAAAUUUUAUUGUAGUUAUUUUUUUAUUUAAAGUCCAGUAUGCAUAUAAUUUAAAGUGGCGAUCAAAGUGUAAGGAAAGAAAAUAAUACAUUGUUUUUAUAAUUAUUUAUUUAAUAUUUUAUUUUAGUAAUGUCAUGUUAGUUUUAUUUUUAAGCUAAUUUAUUAAUUGAAUUUUAAUGUGAAGUCAUUACUUAUCUCAUUCCUUAAAUAAAAAAAAUAGAAUUAGAUAUUGAUGUUUAGUUUUAUGUCUGACUUUUUUUAACUUGAGAUAACUUACCCAUUUUUUAAUUGUUUAAAUUAUUCACAAAAAAAAAAUCUGUGAGGAUAUUUCCACUGAGCUUUUUAUGUAACAACACCCUAUCUUUUUAUAUUUUUAUAAUUAUGAUUUUAUAAAUAAAUUAUUCGUAACUCGUGCACUUAUCCUUAAAUCAUAUAUGUUUAACCAAAGAGAAUGAACAGGAAUUUUCUACGAAAGAAUUAGAUUUGUUAGUUUAAAAAUAGACAAUAUUUAUCUUCUUCCUUUCCUUAUAUCUUUCAAGGAAUAAUACGCUGAAUUGUGAGUAUAUAGUUUUGUGGAUGGAAAAUUAGGAUGAACAUUCAAUUUCAAUUUUAAAAUUUUGUUUAUAUACUGCUGAGCUGAUUUCGUAACUGAUGAAAAAUUUGUGUUAUUAGGCAAGAAAAGUUUAAGAUUUUGCAGUUAAAAUUUAUUUGUUUAUUUGUUUAUUUGUUUAUUAUUACUAGUAUUUUCUGUUAUGUAUGUACAUGUUCUCCCCAGAAUGCAUUUUGAUUCAGAAACUACUGUCUGUGCAAUUAGAUGCUGCAAUGUAUGUCAUUUAUAUAUGGAAAUGUCCCUCUUUUAAUUAAAAUGAUUUAUGGCAUGGCAAUAUUGGCAGAAUCGUUUAUGCAUGUCCAUUUUGUUGCCAUUGAAACUUUAUUGAGCUACAAAGCAAGAAGUGUUUUUUGGCCAAACUUUGUGCCAAAAAAAAAAAAAACCGCAAUUGGCCCCUAUUGCAAUUUUCUGGUGACUAAGGGUGAGAAAUUAAAGAAGAAUAAUUCCCCCUUUGUAAUAUCCAAAAUUUCAUUUGUUUGUAAAAAAAAAAUAAUAAUAAUAAUAAAUAAAUCAGCUUAAAUUCUGGUCGACUUAAUUAGGGUUGAAGAAUUCAACUUUGAUAAACGAUAACCUUGGAUUUAGUCCAUGCCAUCGCCCUGCGAAUGUGGACUGUAGGAGGCGUGUGGAUUCCACAUACUCGAAAGUCGAAACCUUUCAUUUCAAGCUUGUAGACUUUUUUCCUUUUUCUUUAUAUUGAAUUAUCAUUUUUGUCAGUUUAUGCAUAAAUAAUUGAUUGAGACACACGGACCGUUGCAGGAGAGAAGAAAAGUUGCUAGAAAUUAGCUGACACAAGGCCAGUUUGCACUGAACUGUUACAUACAGAGUAUGUAACGUAGCUUUGUCCACACCGACAGUACACAAGUAGAGUCAAAUAAUUAAUUACGUGACGUGACGGAUGACAUUUUGAAAAUGAUAUGUUUUUGCUUUUUUUUUUUUUUGAGAAUGGUAUGCUGCUAAUUUUUUUCGUAUUUGUUUUCAAAAAUGAAAAUUGAUGUUUUUUUGUGAUUUCAAAUCUCGCCUCUGAUAAAGUAUUUUAAAAAUUGUAAUCUAAAUAAAUAAAUACCAAACUGGCUUUUGAUUCCCGGACCUUUUAUUUUAAGUUAAGAGAAUUACUAAUUGAACUGAUUUGAACGCACAAUCUAAAGAAUUUUUCAAUAAAGAAAUAUGUUUAAUAUAAUAUUUGAAGAAAGAAAAUGUUACGCAACAAGUACAAAAUCGUAAAAGCAACAUUAAUUUGUGCUGCUUAAGCUUUCAACUUUUCUUCAAGAAAGUAAAAAGUAAAAAGUAAAAACACCAUUUCUGUCGCUUUCCAUAAAUCCUUCAUCAACUCACCGAAUUUUAUUCUGGCCUUAUUCUAUCUCUCCUUUUUAAUUUGAGUAAUGAUACAGUUAUAAACUCUUGUACAAACUUAUUUUAUACAAAUUGAUGUGGCAUGAUAAGAUUGGUUGAAUUAAAUAUCACUUGGCCCACAUGAUUUGUUUUUAUUAAUUUAUAUUUUCAUUCAACCAAUGAAUUAAUGCCACGUCAGUUUAUAUAAAAUAAGUUUAUACAAAAAUUUGUGGCUGUAUCAUUACUCUUUUUAUUUUCCUAUUUAAAUGGAAAAUGGUGUUUAGUUUGGUGACGAGGACAAUAUCUAAUAUCUGCCAAAAAUAGAAAAAUUAUCCCAAAACUACUUUGAAAGAACUUUGGGAUAAUUAAUUAUAUGUAAUUGAUCAAUUUUCACAUCUUAAAUUUUAAAACUCAUAAAAAGUCAAACUCAUAUAUAAGUGAGUUUAGACUAUCAUUUUAUGUGAUAAGAACUAAAAGAAAAUGUUCAACUUACACAUGACAAUGAGUGAUGGGGAUAAGAGCAUAUUUCACGGCUUAUCUGUAGCUAAUAAAAUUAUAGCGUUUUUCAUGCUCUUGUACAUGGAGACUCAUUAAUAUUUUGAAUUCACUUGUAUGAACAAAUCUGAAUUAUCUUUACCUUUCCAUAAUGAAUACUCCUAAUUAAAACAAGAGCGAAAAAGAAAAGAACAUAAAAAUUGUAUUUUCUUACUAAAACUUCAAAAAUUUCUUGGAAAUAGUUAAAAUGAUCAAAUACAUUUGAGUAGAGCUGGCAAAACGGGUCAUCGGGUCGUGUUCGUGUCGUGUCAGCUUCGUGUCGUGUCAAAUUUAGGUCGACCCAAACCCGACCCAUUUAAUAAUCGUGUCAAAAUAUUGAGACCCAAACCCGACACGGAAAAAUAAUCGGGUUACCCAAUAACCCGUUUAAUAUCUAUAUAUUGAACAAAAGUUAUAUCAAAUAUUUACACACUAUCAUACAUACGUGUGUGCAUAAAUACAUAAAUACAUACAUACAUACAUAAUUUAUCGAUAUUAUAAAAUAUACAUAUCUACCAAUAUAUUACACAUGUACACUAUUGAGGUUUUAAUUUUAUAUAUAUAUAUAUAUAUAAUAUUAUAUAUCAAUAUUAUAAAAUAUACAUGUCUAUCAAUUUUUACACAUUUACACUAUUGAAACUCUAAAUGUAUGUAAAAUUUUAUAAAUAAAACAUUGUGUUUAUAUUCACCCUUUUAAAGAAUAAAAAAAAGAAAAUCAUCUCUAAUAUUUGAGUUUUAAUUAUAAGAAUAUGUAAAUUAUUUUAAAAUAGAAAAUAUAAUCGGGUCAUUGAUCGGGUAAAUGGGUCAAGAAUUUUAACCCAAACCCGACACGGAAAAAAAUCGUGUUGACCCGGACCCGACCCAUUUAAUAAUCGUGUUAAAUUUGACGACCCAUACCCAUUUAUUUAUGUCGUGUUCGUGUCGGGUAAUCGGGUCGUGUCAAAUUUUGCCAGCUCUACAUUUGAGGCAUCAAACAACAAACUUCGACCAUAAUCGGAUUGAUUUUGCAAUUAAACACAACGGAUUUUGUUUCUAUAUAUCACCGAAAGUUCAAAGACUUAACAUAUUAUAUGAGUAUUGUAACUCAAUUAGUUAUUCCCCCACAAAAUACAUGUCCUACGUACAUCAAGAUUUUAUUUCCCUUGGUCCUGUCCUUGAAUUUUGUACUGAGCUUAAAAAUGGUUUUUAAUUUUUCCUUUUGUUUCGAAACUCUCACCUCCUGCUCUUAUUAUUAUUAUUAUUAUUAUUAUUAUUAUUAUUAUUAUUAUUAUUAUUAUUCAGCCUUCUGGUACGUAACUAAGACCAAAAAUGUCUGUGACUCUGUGGUAUCAUUAUUUGCAGUUUAAUUAUAUUUAAAAUGAGACGAUUGAAUGACGCGUGUUCAUGAAGUGUAUAUAAUAUAAUAUGAAUAUGAUUACGACAUUACCUGAAAUUUAAGGAACUGAUAAGAACAUAAUCUGUUUAAAUAAUAUUGUAUGGAAGAUUUCCGAUUAUAAUUUAAAAUAUAUGUUUCUUUCAAUCUUUCUCUAUAAUUCAUUGUUCAUAUGACCCUACGUCAAGAAAAUAAAAUACAGAAUAUCUAAUAUCUCUAUCUAUAGGCAAACAAUUUCAAGAUUUUCUGGUUAACUUGUUAUACAAAGCGUUGAGAUGUGAGUAAAUUAGGGUAAAAAUUUAUUUAGUCAUUGUAUUUUAAGAUUAGUAUUCAUUUAGUCCCUAUAUUUUAAAAAUGUCUUGAAACAUCCCUGCCGUUACUUUUUAUUUCUUUUGGCUUACUUUUACAAUAUUACCCUUUUAUAAUAAUUUUUUUAUUUGGACAUUAAUAAAAAAUAAUUAAAUUAUCAAUUUAACCCUAAAAAUUAUAUUAAUUUUUAAUUAUCAAAAAUUGUAUGCAAACUACCAAGUGUGCAAAUGGUGCUUGCAAAAAAAUUAAUAUAAUUUUUUUAUAUAAUUUUUUAGAUUACAAUUAUUGUGCUAAUAUUCCUAAAUGAUCUUAAAACUAAAAAUUUGUCGAAUGACAAGAUCUUAGUUAGAUGUUUAUUUGUCAAUAAAUUAGUUAACCUGUUUUGUAAUCUGAUGACUAAGCUGUAUAUCUUUUGCUCACUCAAAUACAGGCAAAUCUUCAAUGCUUGGAAACUCUUAUUAAUAAAGAAAUGCAAAUAGCUCUUCUCAAAUUAAAUAAAGACCAAUUACCCGACAAUGCUUACUAUUUUCUUAAAGUGACUUGAUUGUGCUAAUAAAGUUAUGUGGGGAGAAAGAUAUCUAUAUGCCUAUCUGGAUGCAUGCGCCUGGUUGGAUAAGAAAAUGAUAGAAAUUAAAUGCCAAAGAAGUAGAUGAUGCAAAUUAAGUGGAUUUAUUGUUGAUAAUUGUAUGAGUUGACUAGCCCAUUUUACACGUGGAAAGUGGCUUCGAUUGGUGCAUGCAUGAGAUUUGUUUGAUUUUCCUGAUUUUAGAUGAUGAUUUCAAUCAUUCAGUUUGAAUUUAAAAUUUCAAUAAGUUAGAAAUAACGAUGCGGCACGGUAUAUGCGUGGAAUAUAUCUCCCUUUGGCCCUUUACUUUUUCAUGAUUUCAAUUAAUCAAUCUUGUAAUUUAUUUAUAUCUUUAUGUGAAGCAAGUGUACAAGGUACAUAUAUUUUAAGAAUUUUAAAAAGGUAAGUGACAAACAUAUUUUUAAAAUUUAAUUUUGAUAAUAAAUUUCAUCCUUAAUGCAAUUCUACCUAAGUAGUUUUGUAUGAUUCACUUUUAAAUUCCAACAAGAACAUCUAAUUACCUACUUCAAGUGAAAAGUGCGUUGAGUGAAUUUCAACAUAAAUAAGGUUGGUUUGAAUAAUUUUUAAAAAUUCAUAAGCUAAUUGCAUAAUUAGCCGAAACCUAAAAGACUAAAUUUAAAUUAUGUAAUUCUCGCUUUGUACAAUAUAUAAAACCUAAGUACUAACUCUUGGAGGGAAUUAACAUGCUUCGAAUAAAAUCAUUUUGAUAUCUCUUUUAAUUCACUGUGCAAAAGCUUGGAUAGACUUUGUUACUGUUUAUCGAAUUUGAGUGAUAAUAGUAACUACGUACCUAAUGAUUAUUUCAUUUAACAUGGCAAUGAGCUGUUCCAAGAGAUUUAAUGCCCAUUCAGUAUUGCUGGAUCACCUUUUGUGAUGAUCAAUAUCCCUCUUUACUACUUUAAAAGCCAUCAAUGAUCAAGAUGUUGAAAUAUGGGCGAGGAAAGAGAGGAUUUGGAACAAACUAUUAUCCAUUAAUCUCAACGGAAACAUGAUAUUAUAUGAACCACACUUGGACUUAGAAAGAAUGAUUUUGUUGUUGUUGUUGGUAAAAUCAGGCUCUCCAAGUGAACAACUGCUGUUGUAUUAUCCUGAUAAGUGGUACCCAAGAAUUGAGAGAUCUUGGACUAAUAAGUGUUUUUCUUUUUCGAUUUAUAAAUUUAAAGAGAGUCUAAUUUCUGUCAAGGGAGAAGAUCCAUGUGUUAAGAAUUAAGUGUUGAUUCAUCAUCGCUGAGCUGUCAUAGUAUCGUUGCUGAAUAACCAUGUUGGAAGGUCGUUAUGCAUACUAUUGAGAGUUGUUAGUUUCCUUCCAAAAGUUUUUUAUGUAUGGUUGGAUGUGAGCACACGAGUUUGUUGCUUUCAGAAGAUUCUACACACAACUAUAUAAACAAUAUUGUAAUCUCAAAUUACAAUAUGUAGAAUGAAUAUUUUUUUAUUUCUAAUUUCUCUCAAUUAAUAAUUUUUCUCUUUAUUUUCUAUGUAAACAAACAGAAUUCUCAAAAAAUAUUUCACUUUAACUUGGUAUCGGAGAUCAAUCUAAUGGCCUUAACAUGUUCCAAUCAACAACCUAAUGGCACUACCAUAACCUCUUUCACCUUUACAAAUCCAAUCAAGCUUGAUUUCAAGAGCUACACAACUUGGAAACAACAAAUACUCUCUUCAAUUCGUGGUAAUGGUCUCGAAGGCUACAUCAAUGGAUCAAGGCUAUGUCCUGAUCAAUUUCUUCCACCAAGAUAUGGAUAUGAAGGUUCUUAUUCAAAUAUUGAAGGUCAAGAAAAUCCAGAAUAUACAACAUGAAAAUGUCAAGAUCAACUCUUACUUAGCUGGAUCAUAUCAUCCAUGAGUGUUGAUAUCUUCAGUGUUGUGGUCAUUUCUAAGAUUUCCUUUAAGUUGUGGAAAAUCUUGAAAAACAAUUUGGAUCUAAAUCCAUAGCCAAAAAAAGUUCAUCUAAAAAUGCUUCUAAGCAAUCUGCAAAAAAGAUCCUUAACAAUGUCAGAAUAUUUCACAAAGCUUAAAACAAUUACUGAUGGCCCAGCCUGCCCUGUGAGUUAUUAGGAUCUGAUUACUCAUCUCAUUUUUUAUUUAGAUCGGUCAUGUUAUCUUGUGGUUGUUUACAUUGAGGCAAACAUGUUAACUAUGGAUCUUAGUGAAGCAUAUACUAUGCUUCUCACACAUGAGGCUAGACUGGACAAUAGUAAGCUUCAUGACAACAAAGAAAUUAAGAAUAACUAUGCAGUCAAUAUAGCUCAAGUUGGAAAUUUUUCAAAGAAAGGUAAUAAUAAUGCUCAAAAUAAUUGGAACAAGGCUGAGGGAAAUAAUUAGAACACUAAUUCUGGUGGAAGAGCUGGCUUUGAUGGUAAUGGAAGAUGAGGUUACCAGGGACCAAAUCGAGGAAAAUGAAAUUAGAAUAAUAACUUCAGAGGAUUUACUGGUGGUUUUAACAAUGGAUUUCCUAGUGACUUCAAUAACAACUAUGGCAGAGGUGGAUUUAACUCAAGAGGUUCUGAAAAGGUUUUGUUUAAGGAGGUGUUGCUUGUCAAAUUUGCUUCAGGUUUAACCACACAGCAGCUGAGUGUAGAGACAUGUUCAACAAGAAUUUUGUCCCAAAUUUGCCUGCUCCAAGUCAUUUUUUCAAUCAAAAUCAAGGAUCAAGGGCAGCUUUUAUGACUACAUCUGAAUGAGUUACUAAUCAAGGAUGGUAUCUAAAUAGUGGAACAACUCACCACUUAACUAAUACAGUUCAGAAUUUGAAUGAUGGUAAGAUCUUUUUUAGCUCAAAUUUACUAAUUAUUGGUAAUGGUCAAAGUCUUCAAAUUACUCACAUAGGUUAUACAUGUCUCUAUACUUUUUUUGGUACUUGUUUACAUCUGCAUAAUGUCAUGUAUGCCUCCAAAAUUACCAAGAACCUCAUUAAUGUUUCCAAACUUCUCGUGAUAAUGAUAUUACCAUUGAAUUUUUCUCUGAUAUUUAUUUCCUAAAAGACAAUGUGAAUGACACUCUGUUGGCUCAGGGGAUUGCUAAAGAUGGUCUGUAUAAGCUACUGUCAUAAGAGAAACUUAUAUCUUCUUCUUCUAUGCAAGUGUUUUAACCUAGUUCUAUAAUGUCAAUUUUCUCUUUCAAUGAUGAUGUCACUUCUGUUCAAGCCUUUAAUAGUGACUUAUAUUUCUGUUUAGAGUCCAAAUCUCCCAUAAGUUUUCACACUUAGGUUAUGUGUUAGCAAAUAUAUUGCAUAAUAGGCUUGGUCAUCCAAGCAAACAUGUUAUAUAAACUAUUUUAAAGAAUAAUUAUUUGCUGUCUGCUCAUGUUGAUAAAUCAAUCCUUUAGUUUUGUGAUGUUUGUCAGCUUGAAAAAUUACAUCAAUUACAUUUUUUAGUUACUAAAAUCAAAACAAAAUGUCCUUUAGAAUUGAUUCACACAGACUUACAUGGACUAGCUAUGUUCUGUCCAUGGAUGGUUAUAGAUAUUAUAUCUCUUUUGUUGAUGAUUUCACUAGGUAUUGUUGGAUUUUUCCUUUAGUUUUGAAGUCUGAUGCUCUUACUACAUUCAAACACUUUAAAUGCUUGAUUGGAAAAAAAUUCAAUCUUUCUAUUAAAGCUUUACAGUUUGAUAUGAGAGGUGAAUUUAAAAUUCUUUCAGUCUUUUCUUCAACCAAAAGACAUCUAAGCUAGAUUUAGUUGUCCUCACACACAUCACCAAAAUGGUGUUGUUGAGAAAAAGUAUAGACACAUAGUUGAAACUAGUUUAACCCUUCUUACCCAAGCUAAAAUGCAUGUUUCUUUCUGAUGGGAGGCUUUUCAAACAAUCUCUUAUCUCAUUAAUAGAAUGCCAACCUCUAUUCUCAAUAAUUUAUCUCCUUAUCGAAAACUUCAUUACCAAUCACCAAAUUAUCAGCUUCAUAGAAUGUUUGACUGUGCUUGUUACCAUUUUCUUAAACUUUACAAUCAAUACAAGCUUGAAUUUUACUCCAAAAAAUGUUUGUUCUUACGUUACAGCCCUCUUUAUAGGGGCUAUAAAUGUCUAGUCAAAUCUGGCAAAGUUUAUAUUUGCAGCUCAUGUCAUUUUUAAUGAGUUUGAUUUUCCAUAUUUUGAAUUAUUUUCAUCCUCUUCAUCUUCUUCUGAGUCCUUCCUAAUUUACUCUCCAUCAAUUUUCAUUUUCAAUGAUAGUGGCUUCAAUCAUUCGUCAGUUAUACCUCCUACCUCAGUAGUGUUACCAUCACCAUUCUUUCCACAUUUACCUCAACAAGUUCUAUAUUUUCCUUCUUAAACCUCUAAUUCCUCAUCCCUUCAUUAUGUAUCCAAUUCACCUGUAUCACAACCACCAUCUCAACUAGUAAUCCCAACUUAUCUAAUAAUUACUUGAGCCAAAUCUAGCAUUUUCAAGCCAAAAACCUAUUUUACAGCUACACAGACCAUGAGCCAGUGAGUGUUAAAAUUGCUUUAGCUGACAAGAAGUGGCAUAUGGCUAUGCAAGAUAAGUAUAAUGCUUUGUAGAGAAAUGGUACUUGGACAUUGGUUUCAGUUGAGAUAGCCACCAAACUUGUUGGAAAUAAGUGGAUUUUUCAAGUUAAAUACAACCCAGAUGACGGCAUUUCAAAGUAUAAAGCUCGACUAGUUGUAAAAGGGCUUCAUCAAACUUUUGGAGUAGAUUUCUUUGAGACAUUCAGUCCUGUUGUAAAACCUUGCAUUGUUCCAGUUGUUCUCAACUUAGCAGUCAUGAAUUAUUGGUCUAUAGCAAUUAGAUGUCGACAAUGCUUUUCUCAAUGGCUUACAUAUUGAAUAUGUGCUCAUGCUUCAGCUAGAAGGCUUUAUUAAUCCUCAAUUUCUCAAUCAUAUCUGCAAGUUGAAUAAAGCCAUUUAUGACCUUAAACAAGCCCCUAGGGCUUGGUAUGACAUAUUAAAAGGAUCUCUAAUUUAGUAAGGAUUCAGGUCUUCCAAGUCAGAUACUUCAUUAUUUUUCAAGCAUAUUAGAUGUGAUAUUUUAAUCAUUCUUGUCUAUGUGGAUGAUAUUCUAAUAACAGGUUCAAGCAAUGCUCAGAUAACAUGGGUUAUUAAUUAGCUUGGAUAAGAAUUUGCUCUCAAAGACUUGGGGGAUUUCAAUUAUUUUCUUGGAUUGGAAGUGACUCCAUCUAUUGAUGGCUUACAUAUAUCUCAAACUAAGUUUGUUAGUGAUAUCUUAAGGAAAGCUCACAUACUUGACAGUAAAGGUUGUAACACACCUAUAUGUGUUGCUAAUAAAUUGCAAAAAAAUAAAGGUUGUUUGUUUAAAAAUCAUUCACUUUACAAAAGCAUUGAUGGUUCUCUACAAUAUUUAACACUGAUCAGUCCAGAUAUUGCAUUUACAGUCAAUAAGUUAAGCCAAUUUUUGGUUGCUCCAACUACUUUAUACUGGCAGGCCUAUAAAAGAGUGUUGAGAUAUAUGCGAAGUAUAGCACAUUUUGGACUUCAGUUCUUCAACUCAGGUUCUCUAACCUUGACAGCCUAUUUUGAUGCAGAUUGGGGGUUUGAUCUAAAUGACAGAAGAUCUAUUGGAGGAUAUUGUGUUGAUCUUGGAACUAAUCUUGUGUCAUGAUCAUCUAAGAAACAAAAUACUGUCUCUAGAUCAACUGUUGAAUCCGAAUAUAGAGCUUUAACAUUAGCCACAUCUAAAAUUUUGUGGACCAAUUAUCUAUUGAAGGAACUCAAAGUAUCACCCAACAAGCCUCAUGUUCUUCAUUGUGGUAAUAAAAGUGCAGAAGCUUUAGACAACAAUCUUAAAUAUCAUUCUAGAACUAAACAUAUAGAAUUGGAUCUUCAUUUUGUUAGGGAACACGUUGCCAAUAAGGAAUUGGUCAUUGAACAUGUAUCCAGAUCUGAUCAAUUAACUGAUGUGCUUACAAAGCCUCUUAGUUUUGAUCAUUUUGCUUAUAUGAGAACUAAGCUCAAUGUCUGUUCAAGACCUUGAGCUUACAGGGGAAUGUUAAGAAUUAAGUGCCGAUUCAUCAUAGCUGAGCUGUCAUUAUAUCAUUGCUAAAUAUCCAUGCACAUUGGAAGGUCAUUUUGCAUAUUGUUAAGAGCUAUAGUUUCCCUCUAGAAGUUUGUUAUGUAUAAGUGGAUGUGAGCACAUGAGUUUGUUGCUUUCAGAAGAUUUUACACACAACCAUAUGAACAACAUUGUAAUCUCAAAUUACAUUAUGUAGAAUGAAUAUUUUUUGGUUUCUAAUUUCUCUCAAUCAAUAAAUUUUCACUCUGUUUUCUAAGUAAACAAACAGAAUUAUUAGAACAUAAUCAAAUAGACAGAUGAGGAUUUUGACAUGAUAUGAGAAAAGUUAUAUCCGCUCUCCAGUGAUUAUAGGGGUGCUUUGCUCUUCAUGAUGUCAAGAUUUCAAAGAAAUGAAUCAAAUAAUAACCAAUUUGGCAUCGUUAAUCCUUGACUUGUAUCAAAUUUUUGUGAAUUUCAAUUUAUCAAUAGUUGUUUUGUAAGUUGAUCGAACACAUCCGUUGUUUAAAUUUGUAUUAACGAACAUGAAGGCGAUAGUUACGCUUAAUUAACACUUUUUCUUUGCCUUUCUUUUUAAUGUUACCCAAUGUGCAGCUGAAAACUCUUUUCAAGUCGGUUUGCCAAACGGAAUAAGCUACCCGAAAGCCGAAUACAAGAAGGCAAUAAAAGUUUAUAAUAUUAACCUGAACUAAUGUGACGAUUUUCUGUAGAAGUCGCAUCAAGUCAAACAUACUUUAACAUAUAUUAAUAACAUAUUAACUUGAUGUCACAGAUUCAGGGUUCCUUACAUUGCUAAAUUAAAAAUGGUUAUAAGGAUCUUUUAGAAGUAGUAAUUACAUGCGUGGAUGCCCAAACGAAGUAAGAAAUUUCAAUCCAUGGCAGCAAUACAAAAAUGAUGGGAAGAGAUGAAAAUGUGAACCAUCAACUUAUCCGACCCAAUUAAGGGACUGUCUCCUCUGACGAAGUAAAAAAUAAUCCGAUUUUGGUGCCAUUAAGAAUAUUGUAUAACUAGUUUUAGGAGUGGCAAUUUGGGUUAGGAUUUGUUUACUCUAUUUGAUUCGAUGCAAAUUAAAUGAGUUUGGAUUUGAAAAAAUUGUUUCGUUUAAUAAAUAAGUGAAUUCUAUUCAAUUCAUUAAUUAAAUGGAUCUAAUAUGGGUUUUAGAACAUUGAUUCAUUUAUUUGUUAAGGAUUCGUUUAGUAAAUGAGUUAUAAACGAAUCGAAUAUAAUCCAUUCGUUUAAAUUAAUUUAAUUAAAUUAUUUAUUUAUACUUAGUAUGAAAAAACCUUAAAGUUUGAAGGCUAAUAUAAUAAUUAUAAAUGAUAAUAAGUUUGUAUUUUGUAGGAUGUUAAAUUUAUGCUCUUUUUAUAUUUUAUUUUGUUUAAUUUUUGUUUAUUAAUUAUAUUUUUGUAAAUAAAUUCAUAUUCAAUUUAUUCCUUAUCGGAUAAACAAAUUGUAAAGGAAUCCAGAUUCGAUUUGAUUCGUUUAUUAAUUCUACUAAAUGAAUUAAACGAAUCGAAUCGAAUCGAAUCGAAUAUUUGUUUAAUAAAUGAAUUGAAUCCGAAUCCUAAGAUUUCUAUUUGUUUAAUGAAUGAAUCGAAUUCGAAUCAGCAAAAUUUUGACCCAAUUCGUUUACAAUUUGAUUUGAAUAUGACUCGUUUAUUCGUUUUGCCAACUCUAACUAGUUUAUUGUGUUUUUGAUUAAAUAUUACAUAAACUACACACUAUCAACGUUAUAUUGUACUUAUAAUUUUUUUAUUAUUUUACUUUAAGUGUACAACGUGUAAGUAAGCUAAUUUUCCCAGAUCUCUAUAUUGGGUUUUGAGUGUAAAAUGAUAAAAUGAUUUGACAUACAAAUACGGUUGGAAAAGUAUCAUAAUAAAUUACUAUUUUAAAGCAUAAUUUUGAGUGGACCUACUUUGUAUAAGUGAGAGGUAAUAAUAUGUACUUUUAUACUUAAAAUGAUGCUUGGGUGAAUAACAAUGCACAAAUUACACCAUUAAUUGCAUUGACUAAGAGUUGGAGUUACAAAAAAUUGUAGUAGCUAGUUAAAUUUAAAAUUAAUUACGAAAUUAAUUCCAGAAUAUAUCACUUGUAAUUGCCAAGUAAUUCAGAAUUUAUAAUAGGCAAUUAAAUUUAUAUUUUAAUAUGAGAUUAAAUCUCGAAUUUAAUAUGUGGUUAAUGAAGCCGCAUUUACAUUUUGAAUUUAAUUUAAGAAUGAAAUAAAAGGUUUAACGACAACAAUUAUACUUUUAAUUAGCUACUGUACCUAAUAAGAAAUUAAAUACAUCAGUUACAAAAUUUUAGCAGUCAAAUUUGUGGAUAAAAAUGCCUCUCAUACAAUUCUAUGAAUUGACAUUCUUCUUCACUUCAAGAAAAUGGCUAGGAAUAAUUUAAGAGAAAUAAGGAUAGAAGAAUAAGAAGACAAACUUCAAUACCUCCUUUGUCAAUGUCAUAUAUCAUCAAUGUCAUUUAUCCAAUUUCCAUAAAGUUUAGAGACAAUGGAACUUUUUUGUACAAUAACCUCUUAGUGCGCUAGAAUUAUUCAUUACCAUUGUCUCUUGGAAAAUAGGCACUGUUCAAAACCUAAAGCACUUAAUCUCUAGCGCCGAAUUUAUUUUAAUGAAGCUAUAAUAUUAUGCAGGUAGGGGAUGACNNNNNNNNNNNNNNNNNNNNNNNNNNNNNNNNNNNNNNNNNNNNNNNNNNNNNNNNNNNNNNNNNNNNNNNNNNNNNNNNNNNNNNNNNNNNNNNNNNNNUGGACAGUCUGAGGCUGGGCCGGACUGGAGCUUCCGUUAAAUUUUUAAAUAAAUUUUUAAUAAAGUUAAAAGUUAAAAAUAAAAUAUUUAAAAUAAUGAUUUUCUAAUAUAUAAUAGAUAAAUAGUCAAAUACAUAAAAUAACACAAUAUAAUAAACCACAAAUAAUAUUUAUAAAUUAUAUUCUUUUAAUUUAUAAAUUAUAAAGCUUGAGAAUUUUCCAUAAACCAUUAAUUAAGUUCAUUCACAUCUGACUUUAAAUUUUUUUACCCAUGUCUAUGGUAUCACAAAGCAAGCAGGGCCUAAAGCUUAUGACCCUAAGCUGGCCGACCCUAACUUUUUUACCCCACCCUACAUUGAGGUCUUGAUUUGCAUUCUAUUUUUAUAUCAUAUUUGAUUUGUUAUCUCAUUAUUGUAAUCACUAUUUUAACUGCUAUAUCACUGUUUUAACUGUAAUCAUUGUUAUUUGUAAAGUCCCAAUUUAUGAUUUGUAAUUUCAGAAUGCAUUCCUCCUAUUCCAUUGUAUUUCCCUUAUGAAUACUUGGAAAAAGAUAGAAGCUAUUGGACCAAAAAAUUAACACCAAAUCCGAAUUUUGUUACUAAGAUAUAAAAAUUCUCAGUUUCCUAUAGUUACAAAACCACCAUAUAUAAGUAGGAAUUUCAAGUCCCUAAAUGUCAAAAUUUGGUAAAAAUGCGAGGAUCAUCAUUACCAAGUACGCUGUGAUUUUAUUUUCAUUAGUUUGCCAAAAGCUUUGAAACAAUUUUUUUUUUUUGCCAAAAUAUGAAUCCGACGGCAUGAAACAAAGCACCCUUAUCAUAUUUUCUCAUAAGAGAAUCUUGGCCUGUUUCUUCGAUACAUCAUCUUCUUCCUUAAUUGAUAUUAGACUGAAUAGACUCUCUUCAAAUUUAUGAACUGACAAGUGAAAACUUCUUAGUCAAAUUCUCCAAGAUCUCUCAUUUUUCCCGAGGAUUAGGAUUGUAUAAGAGCAGUCGUGGAAUUGAAGAGUCGGGUUCUGAAAAAAUCCAAUUGGCAAAUAUUUGAUAUUAACGAAUAAAAGUUCGCCCCAAAUCCUCUCUUUCAUCACCUAUAUUUCAACAUUAUCAUUAAUGGUAUUAAAAAAUAAUAAAGAUAGAUUGUCAUCGUAUAUGUCAAGUGACACAGAAAGUAAAAAUAGGAGGAUAUUGAUAAAACAACAAUAUAAAAUAAACAAUGUUGAAUAAUAUAAAUGACAUUUUGAACAAAAAUCAUAAUUUUUUUUUUCAAUCUUCGGGCUUUGCGGUUUUGAUCUUGGUAUGGACUUAAGUCCACCCAAAUUGCUAAUCUAAGGAUGCAAUUCGUUAUAAGCUGAUCAUUUACAUCCUUCCGAGCACCGUGAGACAUUACAUAUCCUAAUUUCGUACAAAAAACAUUGGAUUAUGUGUUUCUAUUUAUAAGUGUGCAGGUUUUGUGUUUUCUGUGAUUUCUUGAAUAAGUAUGUAAUAAGACUGCAAUAAAAGAUUUUCCCAAUUUUACUUCUCAAUAUGUUCAUUAAUUGGAUCAAAUGAAAUCAUGCAUGAACUCUUAUGAUAACAUUUUUUGACCUACAUUUCUCAUUAUUGGUUUUGGCAGUCUCUUCUUUUAGCGAACACUGGCAACACAAAAAGAAAAUUAAAAAAGGGGGAAACUGUUAAAUUUGUAAUGGCCUAUUUGGUUAAUUUUAUGUAUUUACGUAACUUAUAUUACAGUAGUUUCUAAAUUAACAAGCCUGUCUGGUUAUAUUCAAGAAAAUUGAUGUACUUAGAUAAUUAAUACUAUAUGUAAAGUUACUAAUAUAACCUUUUCCUAGUGCGGUUCUGGUACGCGUUUCCUUUUCUUACUACAGUUUUAAUUUCAUUUAGGAAACUAGUUUCCUAUUCAAUUAGGGUAAUUGUUAUUACAUAAAAAUCUAAUGGGAAUAGGAAACUAUUUCCUAAUUCAAUACGGCAAGUUAUUGUCACAUUAUAAAUACCCGUGCAGAAAAAAAAAUUGGUUCCAUAUAUCGCACUGAAAAAAAAAUGGAGCAAUACGAAAAGAUCAGAAACUUAUGAUAUUUUUAAGGAAGAUGAAUAAUCAUCCCAACAUUGUCAAGUUGAGGAAUCUUGUCAAAGAACACGAAGACGUAUUCAUUGUGUUCGAUUACAUGGAAUCUGAUCUUCUAAAACUUAUGAAAGAAAGUGCGGGUCAAAAUUUCUCUGAAGAUGAAGCCAGAAACUUGUGUUUUCAAGUGUUUCAAGGUCUCCAUUACAUGCACCGACAGGGUUAUUUUCACCGUGACCUAAAGCCUUCCAACUUGCUUGUUUCGAAAGGUGUGAUCAAGAUAGGGGAUCUUGGAAUGGUGAAGGAAAUUGAUUCCAGUCUGCCGUGCACUGAUUACGUUACAACUCGCUGGUAUCGAGCUCCUGAAGUGUUGCUUUUAUCCGAGAUAUGUGGACCUGAAGUUGAUAGGUGGGCGAUGGGUGCUAUUAUGUUCGAGAUGUUGAGUUUCAGGAUUCUUUUUCCGGGAAAAAAUUCAGCUGAUCAAAUUUACAAAAUCUACGGCAGAUGGGUGGCGUGAAUCUAAGUGAGUUGUUACCAUCAGCUAGUCGAGAAUCCAUCAGCUUGAUUUCAUGGCUUUGUUCCUGGAAUCCACGCAUGAGGCCUACGGCUGCGGAAGCUUUGGAACAUCCUUUCUUCCGGAGCUGCCAUUUUGUUCCUCGAUCGGUGCCUCUUCUUUGCAAUAAUUUUGAAGCUGUUGCGUUUCCUACUGCCACAGUCACAAUGCAAGGACGUUCUUUGACAUAUUCUCAGGUACCGAAUGAUGGGCAAUUAUGUUCGUGCGUCAAAUGUGAGAUGCAAAGGACUAACCAUGAUCACAUGAUCAUCAACUCUGCCAAACCGGCAACCUCCGUGAUUUGUAAAACUGGUUACGCGACUAGAACUGAGAUGUUGGCUUCUCGCAUGCAACCGUUGCAGCAGCUGAUGAUGUCGAGGCCUCCCGGAUUUUGAAGAAAACGUUAAGGCUGGUUAUUGUAUUUGUACUUAGAAACCUAACUACGUACGUACUGAUUGUACUGUCGAAGAUUAUUCAAUGCAUUGAUAUUCAUCUCCUCAGCUUCCCUAGUGUCUUUUAUGUUGAAUUCAAUGAGUGUAAGUCCAUGACCAUUUUUUUUUUUAAAGUUAUGGUCAAAUGUGAGAUGCAAAGGACUAAUAAUGAUGAUCAUAUGAUCAUCAACUCUUCCAAUCCAGCAACCUCCAUGAUGCAUAAAACUGUUUAUACAGCUACAACUAAGAUGUUGGCUUCUCGGAUGCAGCCAUUGCAGCAGCCGAUGUCGAGGCCUCCUGGAUUUUGAAGAAAAUGUGAUGGCCGAUUACUGUAUUUGUUAUCAAAAAACCUAGCUACGUACGUAGUAUCUCUGUUGUGGAUAUUUUAAUAGCUUCAUUCAUUCAAGUAAGCAAAAAUUACUCAAUACUGUCAUUUUUUCGAAUAAUUUGAUACCACUGGCCCUAGAAAGGACAUUAACGGGUAUUCAAUGCACUGUCAUCUUCUCAAAUUAGCUAUUGUCCUAUACAUUGAUUUCACCGAGUGUAAGUCCAUUUUUUUUUUAAAUUGAAAAAAUAUUAUUUAGAAGAUAAAAGAGUGCAUGAGAGUGAUAAAAGUUACGACAAAUGAAAAUUAGGAACACCAAAAUUCUAGAAGAAGAGGCUUCUGAAUUGAAUGGGGAGGUAGAUUCCACAGUGGAAAAAUGAUAACUAAGACUAUCGUUAGUUAAAGUAUCCCCCACUUUGUUACCUUCACGAUAAAUAUGUGAUAAAUUAUUAUAUUAAGCGAAGCAAGUAAAGGCAAUUAAACCAACUAGUGUGGAGUUUCCAUGGAAGAGAGUAGCCAAAAUUCUGAAUACAUUGAGUCAUAGACAUGGCGUCACAUUAAUCCGAAGUUUAUGCCAACCCCUUAACCAUGCUUGUCCAAUAGCAAGAAUAACUACCAUAAAUUCAGCAUAAAAAGAGGAUUCAUGACCAACGAACGUAGAACUGCCAAGGAAGGUUCCAUGAUGAUCUCUAGAAAUUCCCUCACAAGCAGAUAACCUAGGAAUAUUAUUCUACUGUUGACCUUUAUCAAAGUUGGAGGGGACACCAUAUCACUGUAGCUAUUUUCGAAGCUUUUCCAAAGCAUGGAUCAUUACCCAACCGGGCAAAAAUUGCCAAAUCACGAAAGUGUGCAAGAGUACUCCCUAGGCAAGAUUGACAAAGAGUAAAUAUUAAAUUUUUACAGUAAGCUAUGGCAUUAUGAAAAGGGAGAGUUGCAUCUUGAAAUCAAAUAUAUUCAUUUUUCGUUUUUAAAUUAUAGCUUAAUGGCAACCCAGAUAGCUCCACGUGAGUGGAUUCAAACCCCAAAUCUAUUAUUUCAAAUCAAAAGAUUAAAAUUCACCAAUUGAUCAACUAUAUAUCUGGCGUCUAACUAUGACCAACCUCAAUUAACGGACGUCCAUCAACUAGAUUAAUUCUCAAAAACCUGCUACUUUCUAGUGUGUGGAAGAAACAAAGUUCUCAAAGAAGAUAACUUCACAAUACAUACAACUCCUUGCUAACUCAAAUUUAAGCCAACGCCAUGUUUGAUGAAAAUUUAUGGUUGCGGGUUGUGAUUCCAUUUAUGCCAUAAGAAAAUCAAAAGGGUAUGUUUUCGAAUUAUGAUUGCAAAAUUCCAAUCAAAAGGGAAAAGUUUUGGCAUGGACCAAAAGUUUUUUUCCAUUCAUUUCUUAUCACAUUUAUAUUUCAACUAACUAUAAUAAUAUAUAUACACUUAAUAAAUAAUAAAUAAAUAAAAUGUAAUAUUUAAAUAUAUUUUGGAUAGACCACUCGGUCUUUGGCCGAGUGAUGGAUUACUUACUCUCACAUUUGUAAACAUUUGUGAGAGCACCAGUUUGAGAUCUCAAGGGCUCUCCCUUAAUUAAGUAUGAUUGAUUGGAGUCAAUUGUAACUUUCUCUUUUGUAAAUUUUAAGUGAAGUGGACGACCCUCUAAUAUCCCUCGAAUAAUUGUGAAGGUAGACAAUUUGGUGGAGCGGACAACCCUAAGAUAUAUGUGAAGAUAGACAAUCUGAAAAAGUAUUUUAUAAAAUUUAAUGUACGUAAAGUUAUAGUUUCACUAUGUAAUUAUAAUAUCUGAUUGUAUUAUUAGUAUUAAAAAAAAAAACUCUUCUGGAUAGAUAUUAAACCUUUCAAAACCUUUACAUACCAAAUAAAGAGUAAACUGAUUUGAGCUCUUGUCCGGUAGCUCCAAAUAUUUUUCAUGCUUGAAACAAUGUUGAGCUGGAAUAUGUUUUUGAUUACCAAAGCUUAAUCACUUUGAACAUUACAACUGAAGAGCAUAGAGGAUUUGUCAUAAUUGAAUAAUUUUCCAGAGGUUGUAGUGUAGCAAUUAAAAAUUCUUUUCAAAUUUUGACAAUCUGUAGCUGAUGCCCUAGUGAAUACAAGACUGUCAUCCACAAAAAGAAUGUGAGAGAUUUUAGUGCCAUUGCCAAAUGACAGCCCAUGAAUGAGCUUCUACUGUUCAGCCCACACCAGCAAAGAAGAAAAAGCCUCUGCACAUAUGAUCAAAAGGUAUGGAGAUAGCAGACAUAUUUUCCUUAGCCCACGCUGAGGUUUGAUUAGUCCGCUAAUCAUACCAUUUAUAAUUACAGAAAAAGAAGCAAAGCUUAUACACCUCAUGACCAAUCGUACAUAAUUUUGAAAAAAACCUAGCUCCAACAUGGUUUGCUCAAGAAAAUUCCAUUCUAAUCUAUCGUAGGCUUUACUAAUAUUGAGCUUUAUAGCCACAAGGCUAUUUCUUUUCCCCUUACCGUGUCUUAUUUUAUAGGAGCAUUUGUGACCUACAGUGAUAUUGACGGUUAUCAGCCUAUUAGGGAUGAAAGCACUUUGCAUUGGGGAUAUGAUUUUGGACAGGGUUUGUUUAAGCCUUUUUACUAUUGUCUUAGCAACAAUUUUAUAGAUAACGUUACAAAGACUAAUAGGCCUAAAAUCAGUGACUUUUAUAGGUUUUCCAAUCUUAGGAAUUAGAGCAAUAUAUGCAUGAUUGAGAGGGCCUAUAGUACCUUGCUUGUUGAGGAUGUGGAGGCAAGUAGUGAUAACUCCGGAUUUAAUCGUUUGCCAAUGUUUUUGGUAAAAGACUGCUAGCAAUCCAUCAGGCCUUGGAGUCUUCGUUGGACACAUCUGUGAUAAGGCUUCAACAAUUUGCUCUGUUCAGAAAGGCUUGUCCAAUUGCUCGUUCAUGUCAUUUGAGACCCUCGGUGUUAUCCCUGAAAGAGCUGCUGCUAUUUGGUUCUAGCUUGGUCUGGAUGUGGUGAACAAAUUUGUGAAAUAAGUGCAAAACUCAUGCUCCACUUCUUCAACAUUUUUAAUCGAUCUUCCGGUUUCAUCUUCAAUUCCCCAUAUUACAUUCUUUUUCUUCUGCGAUGAGGCUUUAUAAUGGAAAAACUUGGUGUUCUUAUCCCCCUUUUUAUGCCGAUCCGCUCUCGAUCGCUAUUUUCAGAAAAUCUCUUCACCAACCACUAUGUUAUGAAUAUGUCUCUCCACCCAUUUAAUUUCAUCCCCAAAUUCAUACUGCACAUUUUUUCCUUUAAGCUCUGCAACUGUUUCUUCAACUUCUUCAGUUUCUUUUCUCUCCCCUUAAAUUCUUCCUUGCUACACAGAAUCAAACUAGCCAUGGAAUCUUUAAUCACCUUAUGGGAUAAAUGUAUGGGAUCAUCUAUGUUCCAGCAUCCAUGUUUAUGCCAUUCUUCUUUAAUUAUACUUUUACAGGUGUCAUAUGAGAUCCACAUAUCUUCAUAAUGGAUUUGUGAAGUUCUCUUUAUUUGAUAAUUCAGGCCAUUACUUCUAUUAUAAACCUCCAUCAACAUCGGGCUGUGAUCGAACAUCCAACUCUUGAGAUUAACAGCUACACAGUCAACAAAUCUCUCACUUCAAACCUCAUUGCAUAAAAAUCUGUCUAAUCGUUCUUCCACAAAGUUAGGGCUAAAUCUUCCGUUACCCCAUGUAAACAGAUAUCUCUUGCAGCCUACAUCCUUUAGAUUAUAAUCUCUUAAGGCUUCUCUAAAGUCACUAAUUUGGUUUGGAUUUUUAUCAUUGCCAACACUCUUCUCAUGUGGGUGUAAAAUUUCAUUAAAAUCACCGAAACAUAACCAAGGUAUGGAAGAUAAAUCUGAUAGGCGUCUCAUUAAUGUCCAUGUGUGCUUUUUUUGUUGCAUUUCUGGAUGUCCAUACACUUAUGUACAUUGCAUUUGCUUUCCAUUGCCCAUUUGUUGUUCAGCAUCAAUGUGGUGCUUACUAAAUGACUUAAUUUGCACACAAAUUUCAAAGUUCCAAAGCAUUGCAAGACCUUCUCCCCUUCCAUUACUAUCCAUAGCAAAACAACUAUCAAAAUUUAGCUUACUACGAACCGUAUCCAUUUGCAUAGAUUGCAACUUUGUCUCACUCAAAAACAUAAGUUGAGGUCUAUGAAUUUGGAGAAUUUGUUUCAUUGCUAGGAACAUCCGGGAAUCCCCCAAACCCCGAAUGUUCCAGCUGAGGAUUUUCAUGGCUUCCAGCGUUCUUGAUCGCCAACCUCUACCGAUAUCUCUUAUAUGUUUGAGUCUGCAAUUUCCAUUCCCUCCAUUGCCAACGGUUCCUAGCUCAAAUUGAGUCUUGCCACUGGUGAAUUCAAUUGAUAUUACUUUGUUUCUAAUUUGGGUAGGCUAGUCACUUUCAUCUUCUUUUGUUUUGGACUUUGCCCAGUUAGCUCACAACUUGGCCUUUUUAACACCCCUAACCUAUAUUUGUUUCCACCAUUGGAGUUUGUGUUUCGGGCUUGUAAUUUUCAUUUCCUUCUAUUGGGUCUCAUUGGAGCCCUUCGAGACCAAUUUCCUCUCUUUGCUUCUUCCGCGCCUUCUUAGUACAAUAUCUCCUCAUAAACUUUAAUUGGUGUUGCCUCCAAACUUUCUCGCUUGUUUUUAACAUUUUUAUUUCUCGCAUGAAUUCCCACAUUUCCAAGUCCUCUUGUGUUUCCCUCUAUCUCAUGCUUCUUUUUGCCGCUUGUUUGCUGUGCCAUUGUUAUUUCCAACAUGCCAUUCAUUAAACGCUUUUCACCUACUCGUUCCACCUCAUCACCUAUAGCUAAUUCAUUAGUUUGACCCAUCUCUUCCUGAUUUGGUUUUGUCAACCAGGUUACUUUGACUCUGUUGAGGUUGUUAUGAGCAGCCAUAGUGUUCUGAGUUUGCCGAGUUACUCACUAAUUUGCCACUAUCCCUAUUCCAUCUCUCCUUGAUACGGUGCUUCUUUGAGCGUCCUCCUACUGUAACUGCCUUCAUCCACACCCCAUAUGGAAGUUCCUCUUUUCGUUGACCCUAAUACUUAGCACAUUCCUUGAACUAGUGGCUAAUAACUCCACAAAUGAAAUAAAAGUCAGGCAAUCAUUCAUAAUCUAUAGACAUUGGAAUAUCUGCAUCACCCUCUUGUAAGAUCUUUUCUAAUGGCUGAGUCAUUUUGAUCGAAAUUCUAACUCUUACAAAUUCCCCAAUAUAUUCACCAUAUUCGUUUGUUUCAACCUCCUUUACUAUUCUAAUCUUCCCACCCAAUUCUUGGAGAAAAUAUCUUUCCAAACAGGCAACUCGGACAUUUCGAAUCUACACCCAGAAUGUUGUAUGAGUGAAAGACUGUUUUGUGAUCUCCCCCAAUCUUCCCACCCAAUUCUUGGAGAAAAUAUCUUUCCAAACAGGCAACUGGGACAUUUCGAAUCUACACCCAGAAUGUUGUAUGAGUGAAAGACUGUUUUGUGAUCUCCCCCAAUUCCUUUCGGUUCUGUAAGGACAAUUAAGGCCUUAUCAAAGUGCCAAAGGCCUCCUGCCAUCACCCUUCUUUUAUCAGCUUCAUCUGCAAACUUGAACAUAAAGAUAUGAGCACCCAAGCUCUCUAUCUUAACUUCUUUAAUUGUCCUCCAAACUUGUUGUAAUGCCAUCUUCAGCCCUUUCUUAUGAACUCCUCUUGUAAGAAGUAUCUUGCCCAUCAAAUAGCCAGCCAAUACUUUCUCUCUUUUUUCUUUCAUUCUCACUUCCAAAGUUACUUUAUUUUUUUUUUCUCUUUGAUAGUUAUCGCUUUACACUUACGAAUUAAUUCCUUUGUAUCCAUAGCAUUUAAGACCUUUCAGAAAUAAUUGUUGCAUUCACUGUUCUAAAAGUAACCUUGUGUUUAAAUCCCUUACCUGUAACACCCUAGGCAAAUCUCACAUCGGCAAAACACAUGAUAAAUACUGGGUUUAUAAAGGGUGAUCUACAUCUUAAUUGACAAGAUGCGUUUUGGGGUGUAUAGGCGCCGUAGAAACAAACUUGUACAGAGCUUCUUAAGGCCCAACGCGGACAAUAUCUUGUCAGGUCUAGGUUGGGUCAUGACAUUAUGGUAUCAGAAUGGCUCUGCGUAUCAUCUUAAGCAAUGUUGGGGCAAACCACAGCGAGGACACUGAGUCCCCAAGAGGGGUGUGUGUAACAUCCUAGGCAAAUCCCACAUCGGCAAAGCAUGGGAGAGAUGUUGGGAUUAUAAAGGGUGAUAUACACCUUAACUGGCAAAACACAUUUUGGAGUAUAUGGGCGCCCCAGAAAUAAAACCGUGCAAGCCUUAUUAAGACCCAAAGUGGACAAUAUCUUGUAAGGUCUGGGUUGGGUCAUGACAUUAUGGUAUCAGAGUGGCUCUGUGUCCUCUUGAGCGAUAGUGGAGCAAAACUCAGCGAGGACGCUGAGUCCCCAAAGGGGUGUAUGUAACAUCCUAGGAAAAUCCUACAUCGGUAAAGUAUAGGAGAGAUGUUGGGUUUAUAAGGGUUAUCCACACCUUAAUUUGUAAGACGCGUUUUGGAGUGUAUGGGCACCCCUGAAACAAACCCGUGCGGGCCUUGUUAAGGUUCAAAACGGAUAAUGUAUUGUCAGGUCUGGGUUGGGUCAUGACAUUAUGGUAUCAGAGCGGCUCCACAUGUCCUCUUGAGCGAUGGUGAGGCAAACUUCAAUGAGGACGUUGAGUCCUCAAGAGGGGGUGUAUGUAACACCCUAGGCAAAUCCCACAUCGGCAAAGCACAUGAAAGAUGUUGAGUUUAUAAGGGGUGAUCUACACCUUAAUUGGCAAGACACGUUUUGGGCCUUGUAUAGGCGCCCCAGAAACAAACAAGCACAUCUAUUUUUUUCAAAAUUAAUAGUUGAGUCUUAAAUGUGAACUUAUUUAGUGGCUGCAAAUUAUGAACCCAUUUUUUAUUUCGGUGAAAACGAAAGUGUAAAAUGCAAAACAGAAAACGUAAAAUGAUAUGAUGCAAUAAUUACAUAAUUAAUGUUUUCCCUAAGAUAUAGUAAAAGCAUAUGUUUCACCAAAAAAUUUUGAAGCCUUACCGGUCCUCCCAGCCGUUUUAUUUAUUUAUUUAUUUAUUUUUAGUAUUUAUAUAAAUGAAACUAAAACUCUCGUCACCCACAUGAGUGGUUGAAUCUAAGCCACUUAAAGUUAAUAAUUCAUGGCUUGAGUGAGUUUGCUCCCCAGUUCGAGUCGCAGGGAAGUCGCCUUUGUUAGGAGAACCUGUGCCUCUCGGUUCGAGCGGGGACUUCUAGUCUAGGUUUUGGUACGGGCUUAAAGGUACCUCUCACAGUUGGGGUCCUCUCCAGGAUACCUCGUGGUCAAAACAAAAAAAAAAGUUAAUAAUUCAUGAAAUGGUGCCUUUGUUUUGUGGCGGUCCCGGGGCCUUUGCCUCUGAUUAAUAUUAUUCUUUUAGCGUGUGGAUUCCACAAAUCGAAACCCUUCGGAAUUUUAAUUAUUAUUUACUGAAAUAUCAUUUUCCCUAUGGCUUCUACAUAUUAUGCCUAUAGCUAGUGAUUGUUACGUAAUUCAUAUAAAAAAUCAAUUUUAGAAUUGUAACUAUUUUAAUUAACUGAUGCAAGGUAAAUUCCUUACAGAAAAAAUUCAUCUAUGUUCUCUUAGAUUAUAAAAGAUGAAAGUAGCGUAAUUAAGUUUAAGAGAAAACUGAUUUUAUUAAAUUUCAAGGACGAAACGAAAAAAAUAAUAAGAGAGAUAAAAAGAAUUUCUAAGAGAACGAAAGUAUCAUUCGACAAAUAAAUUUAAAUUCAUAAUUUUUUCUGCCCGAUCUAAUAUUAAUUCUUAGCGGCAAGCCUACGGCACAAGCCACAUAUAUGCAAUUAUGCAUAAUUUUUAUUGGUUAAAACGUGACAUUGAUGAUGUUGAAAGAACAAAUAAUAAACAAUAAUACAAUAAAACCUCCAAAUAGAAAUACUUUAUAUAUGAAUAAUUUCUUUAUAGUAAUUAAAAUUUUGGUCCCAAGUUGGGACCAGUUAUAAUUAAAAAUAAAUUUUACAUUGUAAUAAGUUAUAUUUUUUAUAAGUCCCGACUUAAUAAACUUACUUUCACAUAUUAAUAAUAUAUCAAAAAUAUAUAUCAUGUUACAUUUAAUAAUUAUUAAUUUAUUAAUACAUGACAUAAUUUACCCCUAUAUCACUUGCAUUAGAGAUAAUUAAGUAAAGACAAUAAUUUUUGUACUAUACUUCUAUUGAGUUAUAACCUCUUUAUUAAAAUAAAUUUCUCCAGUCUCAACAAUAUGAUUAUACAGAGAAUUUACUGUAUCAGGCUUUUUGAUGCGUAUAGAAAGCAGGACGAGAACACAAAAACACAAGUUUAAUUAAUUUAUUUGAAAAUACAUAGCAUGUUUCAGACAAGAAAAUUAGAUUAAACUCAAGUUUGAUAGUUAAUUUAUUUGAAAACACAUAACAUGUUUCAGGCCAAACGAUAAGAUUAAAUUCGAGUUUGUUAAGCACAAAAACUCUCUCGCAUAUGCCGCAAGCUAGCUUAUUAGAAAGAGCUGACCAAAUCACCCUCCGAUGAUGAUGAUCUUGUUGCAAUAUUAUUGUUUCCAUUGACCCUCCUGCAGUUCAAUCUAAUCUCCCCUUGAUUUCCUGUCAGUGGUUUCAAAUUGCCCAUUCUUAUCAUUGAGAUCACAAAGUUUUUAAAGAAAGCAGUCUGGUUCCUCCCAAAGUCCUCGACAAUGGCAGCGGUAUCGGCACCAGGAGUCGAAAACAACUCUUGAUCACUCUGCAGAAGGCCUUUGCGGAGUCUAAGAUUGGAGAAGUAUUUGUUGUCGAAAGCAUCAGGUGUUUUGACAUCAAAAUUAGCAAGAACGGCGCCGUUUCCACCCUGUGGGCAUAGUUCCCUCAGUUGCUUUAAGAGGGUUCUGUCCAGUGUUGGGUCUGGCUUGCCAGUUUUGUUGAAAUCGUAUAAUCUGUCACUGAAAAAUUUGCACUGAGCCCUUCCAAACGUGUGAGCUCCUGAAAAACAUGCAUGACCAAACCUUUGUUAUUUUUACUGAAUUCACAUACGAGGAACAAUAAUGAUAAUUUUAUUGUUAGGGAUAUUAUUUAAAUUUUGAGUUAAGUAAAUAUAAAUUUAAGGCACCAACACUCAUUUCUUAAAUUAAUUUUUGAGUAUGAGUUACUAUUAGCAGGCAGUUUUGACUCCUAAAAGUUUACUCUCGUAACUUUACUCAAGUAACUAAAAGGAUGUAGAAGCAAUUAAUAAUUACCGGAGAGUGCAACAAGAUCAAACUUGUCAUUGAGGCCAACAUUUCUAAAACUAGAUUUGAGCUCAUCAAGAGAAUUAGAUGGUCCUGGAAGAUUCUGAUUUGCAAGAGCUCUGUUUGCCGUUCUGCUGUCUCUUCUUCCCAAUGGAACUGCCCAUGACGGACCCCCUGACUGUAACCAAAAGCCAUUCACUCAAAAUCAGCAAUAAUCUUAAGAGAUGUGUGUUUGGGGCGGACUAUUUAAUUUGCUAGCCGUUGAAUCAAACUUUGUCGUAUAACAAAAGAAGAAAACUUUUAAUUUUAAAACUAAGGCCUUGCUACGAUACACCAGCGCAGUAAAAAGUGUCUCACUGUCGGUAACAAUUUAUCCGUUGAUAAUCACUAUAUUGACAUACUUGUAGCAAUUUUGGUACCAUACAGUGUAGCUGAUGCACCAUAGUCAAUAAGUCACCCCUUUUAAAUAAUGGAGUCCACCACGUCGUCCGAAUCUAAAAAUGAUCGGUCCAACGAUGAAUCCCUUCACUUAAAUCAAUUUCCACAUGGUGGGGCAAUUUUGUCGUUGAAUAGCAGAUGCAAUAACUAGCAAAGGCUAAACAGUGGACUCAGAUCUUGCACAUUGUUCUAUGUGAAUAAUUAUUUAAUUAAUAUAUUCUUCUAAGGAUAAAGUUGAACUUACGGGAUAUUUAAUUAACUGAAAAAAAUAAUAUAAAAACACGUUAAAUUUAUAUGGGUUAUUAUUAAUUAAAAAAAUAGUUAAACACUACAUUAAUACUACAAAGAUUUAUCAUUAUUCUGUUCGCUUAUUCUGAUACCCAUAUUAAUUUACUUCUAAGCGUAAAAUAUUUACUGGGAAGAGGAGUUGGUAAUAGAAAUUCAUUACCAAAGCAACGGAUCGUUCAGCCGCAAUAGUAAGAAUAUCAGCGCAGGAAACAACCCUUCGACAUGCCUUUUCAACGGCAGCUUUCAUGUUAUCAAUAACUUCAAAACCCCUCGCCGAAUUAUUAUUUGGCGCAGCAAAUUUCUCGCUGUCUAUGGUGUUAGUGCUGUCCAGCAAAAUCGAUGCAUCACACCCCUGAAAAAAUAAUAUUAAUUAACAACUUGCUAUGUUAACAGUCCAUUGUAUUAUUACUUUUUCAAGUACAUAGAUUCCUUCUUAUCUUAUGGACAGGAAUUCAAAAAAAUUAUAUAAAUAAUGCAAACUCUUCUUAUUUAAAUUGUCUUAUUAUUACAUAUGUUUUUAAGACUAGGAUUUCCAGUUGAUUUAAAUUUCUCAGUUGGAAGAAUAUAAAACAAGUGUGAUUUUUUUUCAACCAUACACCAUUAAUAUUGGACCCAUGAUCAUUAAAAGAACUCAGCAGGGAUGAGGCCAUGAGGUGGAUUUUAUUUCCUGUUUUGUACCAAAUCUUUGCUAGAUUUAAAUUUCUAGUACAUGAAAACCCCAUAUUAAAAUUUAUUUAUAAACAGAGAAUUACAUGGUCCUCGGUACAUCGAAUUAGAGAGGAAAAAUUUGUUGUAAAGAGAAAGAAAAAAGAUAAAUAAAAAUGGUUUUGGAAGUUGUUGAAAUUAAAAUGAUAUAUUCAAACUCUUAAUGAAAACUCUAUAUUUUGUUUAAUGCCAUAAAAAUUAUAAAGAUACUGUUCAUUGAUAUACUUGAAACUAUGUUAUAUCAGUAAGUACAUAGACAGAGAGCUUGAUAAAGUAAAGAAGAUGAAAAAUGAGAGAGCAGAGAUUGCUUACAUCAACAAAACAGUCAUGGAAAUGAAGCCUGAUGAGGCUGGCACCGAUCCGGAUAUCGGACGAGAACGCUUUCUUAAGCACAUCCUCGAUAAUGUUCAAUACAUUAGGGCAUGUGGAAGAAUAAAAAGAUGGAGAAAGUUGAGCUUGAGAUGGUGAUCCCUCAAGCACAAAAGCAACAACAAGAGCUGCUGCAAGAAGAUAACGAAGUGAAGCCAUUUUGGCUAAGAGUUACUACUUCUCUAUGAAGAGAAUGAUUAGUCUUAGGACUUGGAAAACAAAGAGAAAUGCCUCUUUAUUUAUAACCAAACAAACCAGAUUAGGAUUAGAACUUUGCAGCAACCUCGAAGUUCCUCGUUUCACUGUUUGAAUAGGUUAGUUACGUUAUUAAUUCGGUAAUUCCCUUAAUUAGGUUUAUGUGAUUUUUUUUUAAACUAAUGUGGCCCACGUGAGCAUCUAAGUAAACUAUAUGGAUAAAGAUGUCUUUUUUUCUUUAUUAUUAAAAUAAAAUUACUAGUUAAUUUUCUUUUUUAAAUUUCAUUCAAUUUUUCUUUCGUGUUUAAAAGCUUAAGUCUUCAAUUAGAUUCUUCGAUUUUAAUUUUUUUUUCAAGUACAAUAUACUAAUUACGGAGCAUUUGAAAUUACAUGUCUUAUUUUCAUAAUGAUCUUGAAAUUUAGAAAUAACCUUCGUUUUUGUGGAGAGAACAUAAGAAAGGGGAAUAUUUGUUUGUAAAAUUUUAUUAAAAAAAAGUAUAAAUGAGCGUAUUACAAAUGCAUGUAUAUCAAACUUAUUUGAGAAUAAAAGCUUAUUAAAAUGAAAUCCAAAAUUUUGAGUAAUUAUUCAUGAAAUGAGGGACUAAGUUGAUAAUUCUUGAAAUGGUGUUAGGUAGGGGCGGCGACGCCUCGAGCCGCCUUUGUUUAAUGCCAGCCUACCUGUUUCUUUUAUCGUAUGUGUGAAUGUGGAGCAAGUGGCGUGUGGAUUCCACAUAUUCGAAAUCCUUCAUUUCAACCUUUUGAAAUUCAUAUAAAAAACAAAACCUUUUGAAAUUUUUUAUUUGUCUACCGAAAUAUCAAAUAUAAUUUUGUCAGCUCAUACAUAGUUAGAUGCGAGAUUGAGCUACUCAAACUCUUUAAGUUAUAAUUAUUUUUAUCAUAUAAGUGUGGGUUCAAUCAUCUUAAUUUUUAAGCUCUAACAAUAAAUGUUUGUUAAAUAUUUUAAUAUUUAUCCUAAAAGAUAUAAUUGUUUGACUUUGACUUCAAAUGGGGUUAGAUUAAAACCCCAAGUGGAUGCUAAAUAAUUAAGUGGUGGCAGGAUUAUAUUUGAAAUGGGUAUAAGAGUAAUUUAGAUUUCUAAUUCAAGAAGGGACCGAGAGGAAAUGAAAAAGAUAGAACACGCUUAAGUUCUAGAAGGAAAAAUGAUUUUAUUAAUGAUCAUGAAAAAGAUAACCAUUGUUACUACUUUUAGUUUGGGAAAAAAAGAUCAAAAUAUUUGCCGUGGUUUAGUGAUUAGACACGAAGAUUCCAUUACUUUUAGAAACUAUAUAGGCUCUUUUUUGUGCACAUAGACCGCACAAUUGUUUUUUAAAUUUGUCCAAAAACUAAGUUUUCUUAUCCUAAAAAGAGUUUGUGUAACCAUUUUUAAAAAUUACAAAAAAUUCUUCCCCACUAUUUUGUCAAACUACAAAUGUCAGACAAAAAGGAAAAAAGCAAUAUGUAAAAAGAAGGUGUUUUUCCGGUUAAUGUUUUAAAGCUAGAGGAUAAAGUGGGUUAUUAAAAACUUGUAAGUGACUCAAAUGAAAAUACAUAUCGAUGACUUCGGGAGAAAAAAAAGAAAAGAAAAAAGAAACACAUACAAUAUGACAAGGAUUUCUGAUACAUAGAAAGCAGGACGUGAAUACACAACCACAACUUUAGUUUAUUGAAAAUACAAAGCAUGUUUCAGGCAAAACAUAGGAGUAAAUUCAUGAGUUUGUUACCCACAAACUCUUUCUCUCGCGUUAGCUGCAAACUAGCUUAUUCAGAAAGAGCUGACCAAAUCACCCUCCGAUGAUGAUGAUCUUGUUGCGAUAUUGCUGUUUCCGUUGACCCUCCUGCAGUUCAAUCUAAUCUCCCCUUGAUUUCCUGUCAGUGGUUUCAAAUUGCCCAUUCUUAUCAUUGAAGUCACAAAGUUUUCAAAGAAAGCAGUCUGGUUCCUGCCAAAGUUAUUGACAAUGGCAGCGGUAUCGGCCCCGGGAGUCGAAAACAACUCUUGAUCACUCUGCAGAAGGCCCUUGUGUAUUUGAAGAUUGAAGAAGUAUUUGUUGUCAAACACAUCAGGUGUUGUGACAUCAAGAUUAGUUAGAACGCUGCCGUUUCCACCUUGUGGGCAUAGUUGCCUUAGUUGUUGUAAGAGGGUUGUGUUAAGUGUUGGGUCUGGAUUGCCAGUGCUGUUGAAAUUGAAUAACCUAUCGCUAAAAGUUCGGCACUGAGCCCUUCCAAAUGUGUGAGCUCCUGAAAAAAAUGCAUAGCCAAUCUUUGUUAUUUUUACUCAAAUUCAUACAAAUUAAGGAUAAUAAUGGAGUUUCAUUAUGGUGGUUCUCACUUUUCUUUUUGGGAAGCAAUUCAAAUUUCAUGAUGUGAUUAAGGGGAGUAAAUUUGUCAAACGUUUUAACAUAUUCUUAGUCACCAAUGUCAAACUUUAAAACACAGUUUCUUCCAUCAUUAGGAUAUUCAGUCAAGCCUUCUAGGUGCAGUAGAGUAUGAAUGUGCUUUGUGUCGGUGGUCGUCUUAGUAAGAGUAACAAUGAGAAAAAAAUUGGUAUUUAGUGGAUGAGAUUUCUCAUCCUUAUCAAAAUUUAUUUUUUCUUUUUAAAUAAGAUAUUCAACAUUUAAACUAUCUCUAAGAUUUCAAGACUCAGUAUUGGCAUUAAAAAAUUUUCCACGUCCAGAUUUCUAAUUCUGGCUCCAAUACUGCUUUAUCCCAAAAGACUCCAAGGUCUGUUUGUACUCAAGUCAAAGGGUGUAUAAGCAAAUAUUACCGGAGAGUGCAACAAGAUCAAAAUUAUCGUUGAGGCCAACAUUUCUGAAUCUAUCUUUGAGCCUCUCAAGACUAUUGUUCGGUCCUGGAAGAUUUUCAUUUGCAAGAGUCCUGUUGGCUGUUCUGCUGUCUCUCCUUCCCAAUAGAUUUGUCCAUGAAGGACCCCCUGACUGAUACCAAAACCACGAUCAUUAGUCAAAAGAAUCACUUGAGAGAUGCAUAAUAAGCAAAUUUAACUAAAAUCAGAAAUAGACAUGCAAUUACUCUUUCCGACUUUAUUUGGCUAGUAUUUAUAUGGGUCUUUUUGCACCCAAAAUUAGCAGUUUCCCGACAUUACAAUUUUGAGUGAACGGUUCAACCAGACUGUAUCACAUAAAGAAGAUAUUUUCACGUAAAACUGAUGUGUCCUCCAUGAAUCUCAUCACUUUUUUUUUGGGGGGGUGGGGGGAAGGAGAAGCCUUCCCUUUUCAUACGGUAAAGUUUGUCCAGGCACUAUCACGAAGUCAACAUGGUAAUGUCGGUGGACUGUUGCCGCCUAAAACUAAGCAUGUGGAUUCAUUUAGUUAAGUACUCAGGGACUGAAAAUUCCAACACGAAUGUAAAGUCAGACUUACUCUCUGAUACCAUAGUAAUUUAAUCACUUUUAAGCUAAAAAUAUGUAGUAGAGCAAGAUGAGUUGUUAAUAGAAAUUCAUAUAUACCAGAGCAACAGAUUGUUCAGCUGCAAUAGUAAGAAUAUCAGCACAUGAAACAACGCCUGGACAGGCCCUUUCAACGGCAGCUUUCAUGUCAUCAACAACUUCAAAACCCCUCGCCGAAUUAUUAUUUGGCGCAGCAAAUUUCUCGCUUACUAUGGUAGUAGUAUUGUCCAGCAAAAUCGAUGCAUCACAGCCCUGAAAUAACAUUAAAAACUUGUUAUGAUCAACUGCUCUUGUAUCGUUAAUUUAAUAAUUAGGUAGAUUCUUCUUAUCUUACUAUUAAGAAAAUAAUGAAUAUUUGUGCAUUUUCUUUUUGGAUAAACAUACAUAUAUCCAAAUUGUCUUAUAUAAGUUUGUAAGACCAGGUUUCCCCCAUGAUGUAAGCUUUUCCUGAGCUUAAUUGUGACUGUUAGAAGUUAAGGAUAUAAGUGUACGUAGUUAUUUUCAAUCAUAUAUUACUAAUAAUGGACAUGUUACACAAGAUUUUUUAAAAAACUAUGCAAAACUCAGAUUAAAAGAGGACCUUAAUUCAUAUUUUAAAAUAUUAAUUGAAAAAGAAGAAAAAUCAAAGAGUAGAGAUUGAUUACAUUAACAAAACAGUCAUGGAAAUGAAGCCUGAUGAGGCUGGCACCGAUGCGAAUAUCGGACAAGAAAGCAUUCUUAAGCACCUCCCGAAUUAUGUUGGUUACAUUAGGGCAUGUGGAAUUAUAAAAAGAGGGAGAAAGUUGAGCUUGAGCUGGUGAUGAUCCCUCAAGCACAAAUGCAACUACAAGAGCAGCUGCAAGGAGAAAACGAAGAGAAGCCAUUUUGCAAUGAUGAGAAUGAGAGUUAUUUCUAAGCCUUCUAUAUAUGCGCCUCUUUAUUUAUAGCCAACCAAGCUAAACAGGAGUAGACUUGGGAACGACUAAGAAGUUUCACAUUAUAUUGUAAAAGUCCACAGUUUGAAAACAAAAGCUUAUAUGAUGAGAUAAUUACAUUAUCGAUUUUCUCCCUAAAGUUUGGUGAAAGCAUAUUUUUCUCCACAUAGUUUUGAGGUGUUAACGAUCAUUUAUUAUUUGCUUUUUAGUAUUGUAGAAGUAUGUCAAGUGUAUCUCGGUCGUCCCCCCUUAAAUACUCCAACCACCCCAUGAAUCGGUUAUUAAAUUAAAUUAAAAAUAUUUUACUUCUUCUUUUCAUUUAACUUAAGAGUAAUAGAAGAAAAAAGAUUUCUUUGUUCAUUGGAUAACGAACUCUUUUUAAAAUCAUGGGAUUUCUUUUUGAUUUUUUUUAGUCAUGAAAACUAUCUACAAAAAAACAUUAGAUAUAAUAGCUUCGGCCUUGUCCGCUUAUAGAGAGAGAACGAAAUCGGGAUAAAUACCAAUACCUAUUAGGGGUAGAAGAAUCGAGAUAAAAACAAAUAACUCUCGUGGUCCAGAAUAAAUAAAUAAAAAAAGUGUUUGGGGCAUUAAAUAGCUUGUACCCAUAGAACAUUUGGCGUAACAUAGAUAAUGAAUAAAUGGAGUUAAUAUCAUUCCAAUUGCCAUUACAAAAGUAUAAUUACUAUUUUUGGCAUAAAAAAAAAAUUGGCUGGUAAUUAUUCCAAAAUAUACUAUCAAUUCUGCAACAAAACCACUCAUAAGGCAAAGGUUCUUGUUUAGUGGAUGAGAUUUCUUGUCCCUAUUAGAACUUUUUUUCCUUUUUUCUUAUUAAACAAAAGAAAAGGUAAUAACAACACCAAUAUUAAAAGGAUGAACUUAUAUAAUUCAUCCUACUUCUAUCGCAAUUGGAUCUAACUUUCAAAGUGGGUAAAAUAUUUUUUUUAUCUUACAUGGAACUUAAAAUUCAAAUAAAUCUACAUGUUAAGGAAAAAAAGGAGAAUAAUUAAGUAAAUAAUUUUGACUAAGACAUAUAUUUUUAAAAUAAUUUUUUAAAAAUACAAAGUCUAGCUAGAUAAUUGACUCAAAUCUUAAGGAUCAAAAGAAAAUUUAUCCCAAAAAGAAAAUUGUGAGGAUAUUUCCACUCCGCUUUUUAUGUAACAACACCCUAUCUUUUUAUAUUUUUAUAAUUAUGAUUUUAUAAAUAAAUUAUUCGUAACUCGUGCACUUAUCCUUAAAUCAUAUAUGUUUAACCAAAGAGAAUGAACAGGAAUUUUCUACGAAAGAGUUAGAUUUGUUAGUUUAAAAAUAUACAAUAGUUAUCUUCUUCCUUUCCUUAUAUCUUUCAAGUAAUAAUUCGCUGAAUUGUGAGUGUAUAGUUUUGUGGAUGGAAAAUUAGGAUGAAUAUUCAAUUUCAAUUUUAAAAUUUUGUUUAUAUACUGCUGAGCUGGUUUCGUAACUGAUGAAAAAUUUGUUUUAUUAGGCAAGAAAAGUUUAAGAUUUUACAGUUAAAUUUUAUUUAUUUGUUUGUUUGUUUGUUUAUUAUUACUAGCAUUUUGAUUCAGAAACUACUGUCUGUGCAAUUAGAUGCUGCAAUGUAUGUCAUUUAUAUAUGGACAUGUCCCUCUUUUAAUUAAAAUGAUUCAUGGCAUGGCAAUAUUGGCAGACUCGUUUAUGCAUGUCCAUUUUGAUGCCAUUGAAACUUUAUUGAGCUACAAAGCAAGAAGUGUUUUUUGGCCAAACUUUGUGCAAAAAAAAAAAAAAAACGCAAUUGGCCCCUAUUGUAAUUUUCUGGUGACUAAGGGUGAGAAAUUAAAGAAGAAUAAUUCCCCCUUUGUAAUAUCCAAAAUUUCAUUUGUUUGUAAAAGAAAAUAAUAAUAAUAAAUAAAUCAGCUUAAAUUCUGAUCGACUUAAUUAGGGUUGAAGAAUUCAACUUUGAUAAACGAUAACGUUGGAUUUAGUCCAUGCCAUCGCCAUGCGAAUGUGGACUGUACGAGGCGUGUGGAUUCCACAUACUCGAAAGUCGAAACCUUUCAUUUCAAGCUUGUAGACUUUUAUCCUUUUUCUUUAUAUUGAAUUAUCAUUUUUGUCAGUUUAUACAUAAAUAAUUGAUUGAGACACACGGACCUUGUAACGUAGCAAAUGGGGAGCAUCCGCUCGUUGCAGGAGAGAGGAAAAGUUGCUAGAAAUUAGCUGAUACGAGGCCAGUUUGCACUGAACUGUUACAUAAAGAGUCUGUAACGUAGCUUUGUCCACACCGACAAUACACAAGUAGAGUCAAAUAAUUAAUUACGUGACGUGACGGAUGACGUUUUGAAAAUGAAAUGUUUUUGCUUUUUUUUUUUUUUUGAGAAUGGUAUGCUGUUAAUUUUUUUCGUAGUUGUUUUCACAACUGAAAAUUGAUAUUUAUUUGUGAUUUAAAAAAAUUGAUGUUUAUUUCAAAUCUCGCCUCUGAUAAAGUAUUUAAAAAAUUAUAAUCUAAAUAAAUAAAUACCAAACUGGCUUUUGAUUCCCGGAUCUUUUAUUUUAAGUUAAGAGAAUUACUAAUUGAACUGAUUUGAACGCACAAUUUAAAGAAUUUUUCAAUAAAAAAAGAGUAAUGAUAUAACUAUAAAUUUUUGUACAAAUUGAUAUGGUAUGAUAAAAUUAGUUGAAUUAAAUAUUUAUUAGUCUACAUAAUUUAUUUAUAUUUUUAUUCAAUUAAUAAAUUAAUGUCAUAUCAAUUUAUAUAAAAAUUUGUGGUUGUAUCAUUACUUAUAAAGAAAUAUGUUUAAUAUAGUAUUUGAAGAGAAAAUGUAAUGCAACAAGUACAAAAUCGUAAAAGCAACAUUAAUUUGUGGUGCUUAAGCUUUCAACUUUUCUUCAAAAAAAGUAAAAAGUAAAAAGUAAAAACACCAUUUCUGUCACUUUCCAUAAAUCCUUCAACAACCCACCGAAUUUUAUUCUGAUAUGUUUAAUUUAUUCUGAUAUGCACAGUAGGCGGACCGCUAUACUUGAGUCCACUUAAUAUAAUAUUUGAGGAAAGAAAAUGUGACGCAACAAAUACAAAAUCGUAAAAGCAACAUUAAUUUGUGCUGCUUAAGCUUUCAACUUUUCUUCAAAAAAAGCAAAAAGUAAAAACACCAUUUCUGUCACUUUCCAUAAAUCCUUCAACAACUCACCGAAUUUUAUUCUGGCCUUAUUCUAUCUUUCCUUUUUUUUUUCCUAUUUAAAUGGAAAAUGGUGUUUAGUUUAGUGAUGAGGACAAUAUCUAAUAUCCGCCAAAAAUAGAAAAAAUUAUCCCGAAACUACUUUUAAAGAACUUUGGGAUAAUUAAUUAAAUGUAAUUGAUCAUUUUUCACAUCUUAAACUUUAAACCCAUAAAAAGUGAGACUCAUAUAUAAGUGAGUUUAGACUAUUUUUUUUAUGUGAUAAGAACUAAAAGAAAAUGUUCAACUUACAUGUGACAAUGAGUGAUGAGGAUUGAAGCAUAUCUCACGACUUAUCUGUAGCUAAUAAAACUAUAGCAUUUUUCAUGCUCUUGUACGUGGAGACUCGUAAAUAUUCUGAAUUCACUUGUAUGAACAAAUCUGAAUUACCUUCACAUUUCCAAAAUGAAUACUCCUAAUUGAAAUAAAAGCGAAAAGAAAAAAACAUAAAAAUUAUAUGUUCUAAAACUUCAAAAAUUUCUUGGAAAUAGUUAAAAGAAUCAAAUACAUUUGAGGCAUCAAACAACAAACUUCGACCAUAAUCGGAUUGAUUUUGCAAUUAAACACAACGGAUUUUGUUUCUAUAUAUCACCGAAAGUUUAAAGACUUAACAUAUUAUAUGAGUAUUGUAACUCAAUUAGUUAUUUCCCCCACAAAAUGCAUGUCCUACGUACAUCAAGAUUCUUUUUUUUUUCCUCGGUCCUGUCCUUGAAUUUUGUACUGAGCUUAAAAAUGGUUUUCAAUUUUUCCUUUCCCCUCCUGCUCUUAUUAAUAUUAUUAUUAUUAUUCAGCCUCCUGGUAUGUAACUAAAACCAAAAAUGUCUGUGGUAUCAUUAUUUGCAGUUUAAUUAUAUUUAAAAUGAGACGAUUGAAUAACGCGUGUUCAUGAACUGUAUAUAAUAUAAUAUGAAUAUGAUUACGAAAUUACCUGAAAUUGAAGGAACUGAUAACGUCUAAGUACAUAAUCUGUGUAAAUAAUAUUAUAUGGGAGACUGCCGACAAUCUUUGUCUAUAAUUCAUUGUGCAUAUGACCCUACGUCAAGGAAAAUUAAAUAUAGAAUAUCUAAUAUCUCUAUCCACAGGCAAACCAUUUCAGGAUUUUCUGGUUAACUUUUUAUUCAAAGCUUUGAGAUAUGAGUAAAUUAUAUUUGGCCAUUAUGUCAACAAAAUAUGUCUUUUUCUUUCUGGCUUAGAUUGCAAUUAUUGUACUAAUAUUCCUAAAUGAUCUUAAAACUAAAAAUUUGUCGAAUGACAAGAUCUUAGUUAGUUGUUUGCUUGUCAAUAAAUUUGUUAACCUGUUUUGUAAUCUGAUGACUAAGCUGUAUAUCUUUUGCUCACUCAAAUACGGGCAAAUCUUCAAUGCUUGGAAACUCUUAUUAAUAAAGAAAUGCAAAUAGCUCUUUUCAAAUUAAAUAAAGACCAAUUACCCAACAAAGCUUACUAUUUUCUUAUGUAACGUGAUUGUGCUAAUAAAGUUAGGUGGGGAGAAGAUAUCUAUAUACCUAUCUGGAUGCAUGCGCCUGUUUGGACGGUAAGAAAAUGAUAGAAAUUAAAUGCCAAAGAAAUAGAUGAUGAAAAGAAAGAGGAUAUAUUGUUGAUAAUUGUAUGAGUUGACUAGCCCAUUUUACACGUGGAAAGUGGCUUCGGUUGGUGCAUGCAUGAGAUUUGUUUGAUUUUGGAUGAUGAUUUCAAUCAUUCGGUUUGAAUUUAAGAUUUCAAUAAGUUAGAAAUAACGAUGCGGCACGCUAUACGCGUGGAAUAUAUCUCCCUUUGGACCUUUACUUUUUCACGAUUUCAAUUAAUCAAUCUUGUAAUUUAUUUAUAUCUUUAUGUGAGCCAAGUGUACAAGGUACGUAUAUUUUAAGAAUUUUAAAAAGGCAGUAGCAAACAGAUUUUUAAAUUUUAAUUUUGAUAAUAAAUUUCAUCCUUAAUGCAAUUCUACCUAAGUAGUUGUGUCUGAUUUACUUUUAAAUUCCAACAAGAACAGACAAGUCUAAUUACCUACUUCAAGUGAAAAAAGUGCGUUGAGUGAAUUUCGACAUAAAUAAGGAUGGUUUGAAUAAUUUUUAAAAAUUCAUAAGCUAAUUGCAUAAUUAUCCGAAACCUAAAAUACUAAAAGAGUGUUUACCCAAAAAAGCUAAUUAUCUAUUGCACUAAACUAAAAGCUCUUAAUACUUUCUAAUCGCCAACGUUCUCCGAAUUUCCCAGUCCACAAUUUAUGCAUUCUCAGUAAUUUCAAUCUUUGCUACUGAACGUGAGAAACCAACUUGAUUCAUUUUAGUAUUCCAUUAUUUUAAUUAAAUUUGAUUAGAAGGAGAUGAUGGUGACAAGUAACAAGAAAGAUUUUCAUUAUAAUGAAGAUUUGGUGAUUGAAAUUCUUUGUAAAAUCUAUUUGGCGAUUCAAGUUUGUUUGUAAAUCUUAGUAUUGUUUAAUAUACGGGAAAUCUAAGUUUCAUAAAACACUUAAAAAAUGUCAAAACCCGUCUAAUUUGUCAUUUAGAUAGUUAAGAAUGGUGAUUCAUAUGACUAUCCUAGAAAUUUCUUUUUUUUUAUGCUUCUUGAUGAUAUAGUGAUAGACCUAUCAUUGCAAUAUCUUGAUGAGCAUCUCCUCAAGCCUGUUAUUGGAGUCCAUGUUUUGUAUUAGUAUAUUUUGAGCUUAAUGUUGCGGACCACCCAAAUUUUCAGCCCAAGUGCCCAAGAAUUCAAGCUAAGAGCCCAAACAUAGGCCAAGAGUGCUAGCUUGACCCGAUUCUAAAAUUUUUUAACAAACUCUAGCACAUCUCGAGCUUGUACAUAUUUAAAAGUGGCAUGUGGCUAUGCAAGAUAACUAUAAUGCUUUGCAGAGAAAUGAUACUUGGACAUUGGUUCCAACUGAGAUAGCCACCAAACUUGUUGGAAAUAAGUGGGUUUUUCAAGUUAAAUACAACCCAGAUGAUGGCAUUUCAAAGUAUAAAGCUCAACUAGUUGUAAAAGGAUUUCAUCAAAAUUAUAAAAUAGAUUUCUUUGAGACAUUUAGUCCUGUUGUAACCCUGCACUAUUCCAUUUGUUCUCAACUUGGCAGUCAUGAAUCAUUGGCCUAUACGGUAAUUAGAUGUCGAUAAUGCUUUUUUAAAUGGCCUACUUACUGAAGAUGUGUUCAUGCUUCAGUCAGAAGGCUUUAUUAAUCCUCAAUUUCCCAAUCAUGUUUGCAAGUUGAAUAAAACCCUUAUGGCCUUAAACAAGCCCCCAUGGUUUGGUAUGAUAGAUUAAAAGGAUCUAAUUCAAUGAGGAUUCAGGUCUUCCAAGUUAGAUACUUCCUUAUUUUUCAAGCAUAUUAGAGGUGAUAUUUUAAUUAUUCUUGUCCGUGUGGAUGAUAUUCUGAUAACAAGUUUAAGCAAUGCUCAGAUAACAGAGGUUAUUAAUCAGCUUGGAUUAGAAUUUGCUCUCAAAGACAUGGGGGAUUUCAAAUAUUUUCUUGGAUUAUAAGUGACUCCGUCUAUUGAUGGCCUACAUCUAUCUCAAACUAAGUUUGUUGGAGAUAUCUUAAGGAAAGCUUACAUGUUUGACAGUAAAGGUUGUAACACGCCUACAAGUGUUGCUGAUAAAUUGUAUGUUUGAAAAUCAUUCACUUUAUAGAAGCAUUGUUGGUUCUCUACAAUCCUUAACACCGACCAGUUUAGAUAUUGCAUUUACAAUCAAUAAGUUAAGCUAGUUUUUUACUGCUCCAACUACUUUACACUGGCAGGCCUGUAAAAGAGUGCUGAGAUAUUUGCAAAGUAUAACACAUUUUGGACUUCAGUUCUUCAACUCAAGUUCCCUAACCUUGAUAGCCUAUUCUAAUGCAGAUUGGGGGUCUGAUCCAAAUGACAGAAGAUCUAUUGGAGGAUAUUGUGUUUAUCUUGGAACUAAUCUUGUGUCCUGGUCAUCUAAGAAACAACAUAUUAUCUCUAAAUCAAUUGUUGAAUCCGAAUAUAGAGCUUUAGCAUUAGCCACAUCUAAAAUUUUGUGGAUCACUUGUCUUUUAAAGGAACUCAAGUAUCACUCAACAAGUCUCAUGUUCUUCACUCUGAUAAUAAACUGCAGAAACUUUGGCAAACAAUCCUAAUAUCAUUCUAUAACUAAGCAUAUAUAAUUGGAUCUUCAUUUUGUUAGGGAACAUGUUGCAAAUAAGGAAUUGGUCAUUGAACAUGUAUCUAGUCUUGAUCAGUCAGUUAAUGUGCUUACAAAGCCUCUUCGUUUUGACGAUUUUGCUUAAUGAGAACUAAAUUCAAUGUCUGUUCAAGACCUUGAGAUUACGGGGGUGUGUUAAGAAUUAAGUGCCGAUUCAUCAGAGCUGAGCUGCAUAGUAUCGUUGCUGAAUAUCCACGUUGGAAGGUCAUUAUGCAUAUUGUUGAAAGCUAUAGUUUCCCUCUAAAAGUUCGUUAUGUAUAGAUGCAUGUGAGCACACGAGUUUGUUGCUUUUAGAAGAUUGUACACACAACCAUAUGCAGAGCAUUGUAAUCUCAAAUUACAGUAUGUGAAAUGAAUAUUUUUUGGUUUCUAAUUUCUCUCAAUCAAUAAAUUCUCUCUCUGUUUUCUAAGUAAAUAAACAGAAUUCUCAGAACAUAAUUAAAUAGACAUAUGAGGAUUUUGACACGAUAUAGGAAAAGUUAUGUCCGCUCUCCAAAGAUUAUAGGGGUGCUUUGCUCUUCAUGACGUCAAGUUUUCAAUGAAAUGAAUCAAAUAAUAACCUAUUUGGCAUCGUUAAUCCUUGGCUUGUAUCAAAUUUUUGUGAAUUUCAAUUUAUCAAUAGUUGUUCUGUAAGUUGAUCGAACACAUCCGUUGUUAAAACUUGAUAUUAACGAACGUGAAGUCGAUAGCUACGCUUAAUUAACACUUUUUCUUUGCCUUUCUUUUUGACGUUACCCAUCGUGCAGCUGAAAACUCUUUGCAAGCCAAUUUGCCAAUAAGUUACCCGAAAGCAAUAGAAGUUUAUAAUGUUAACCCGAACAAAUGUGACGAUUUUCUGUAGAAGUCACAUGAAGUUAAACUUACUUUAACAUACAUUAAUAACAUAUUAACUUGAUGUCGCAGAUUCAGGGUUCCUUACGUUGCUAAAUAAAAAAAAUGGCUAUAAGGAUCUUUUAAAAGUAGUAAUUACAUGCGUGGAUGCCCAAACGAAGCAAGAAAUUUCAAUCCAUGGCAACAAUACAAAAUUGAUGGGAAGAGAUGCAAAUGUGAAACCAUCAACAUAUCCGGCCCAAUUAAGGGACUGUCUCCUCUGACGAAGUAAAAAAUAAUCUGAUUUUGGUGCCAGUAAGAAUAUUGUACAACUAGUUUUAGAAGUGGCAAUUUGGGCUAGGAUUCGUUUAUUUGAUUCGAUUCGAUGCAAAUUAAAUGGGUUUGGAUUUGAAAAAAUUGUUUCGUUUAAUAAAUAGGUGAAUUUGAUUUGAUUUGCUAAUUAAAUGGAUCUAAUCCGGGUUUGAGGAUAUUGAUUCAUUGAUUUAAGGAUUCAUUUAGUAAGUGAGUUAUAAACGAAUCGAAUAUAAUUCAUUCAUUUAAAUUCAUUUAAUUAAAUUAUUUAUUUAUACUUAGUAUGAAAAAAACUUAAAGUUUGAAAGCUAAUAUAAUAAUUAUAAAUGAUAAUAAGUUUGUAUUUUGUAGGAUGUUAAAUUUAUGCUCUUUUUAUAUUUUAUUUUGUUUAAUUUUUAUUUAUCUAUUAUAUUUUUGUAAAUAAAUUCAUAUUCAAUUUAUUCCUUAUAGGAUAAACGAAUUGUAAAGGAAUCCAAAUUCGAUUUGAUUCGUUUAUUAAUUCUACUAAAUAAAUUAAACGAAUCGAAUCGAAUAUUCGUUUAAUAACCGAAUCAAAUCCAAAUCAGUAAAAUUUUGAGCCAAUUUAUUUACAAUUCGAUUAGAAUAUGAUUUGUUUAUUCGUUUAUCCAACACUAACUAGUUUAUUGUGUUUUUUAUUAAAUAUUACAUAAAUUACUCACUAUCAACCUUAUAUUGUACUUAUAAUUUUUUUAUUUUACUUUAGCUGGACAAUGUGUCAGUAAACUAAUUUUCGUAGCUCUCUAUAUGGGGUUUUGAAUGUAAAAUGAUAAAAUGCUUUGACAUACAAAUAUGGUUGGAAAAGUAUCAUAAUAAUUUACUAUUUUAAAGCAUAAUUUUGAGUGGAUGUACUUUGUAUAAGUGAAAGAUAAUAAGGUGUACUUUUAUAUUUAAAAUGAUGCUUGGGUGAAUAACAACGCACAAAUUACACCAUUGAUUGCAUUGAGUAAGAGUUGGAGCUACAAAAAAUUGUAGCAGCUAGUUAAAUUUAAAAUUAAUUACGAAAUCAAUUCCAGAAUAUAUCACUUUUAACUGCCAAGUAAUUCAGAAUUUAUAAUACCCAAUUAAAUUUAUAUUUUAAUAUGAGAUUAAAUCCCGAAUUUAAGACGUGGUUAAUGAAGCCGCAGUUACAUUUUGAAUUUAAUUUAAGAGUUAAAUAAAAGGUUUAACGAGCAACAGUUAUACUUUUAAUUAGCUACGGUACUUAAUAAUAAGAAAUUAAAUACAUCAGUUACAAAAUUUUAGCAGUCAAAUUUGUGGAUAAAAAUGCCUCUCAUACAAUUCUAUGAAUUGACAUUCUUCAUCAUUUCAAAAAAGUGGCUAGGAACAAUAUAAGACAAAUAAGGAUAGAAGAAUAAGAAGAGAAAAACUUCAAUGCCUCCUUUGUCGGAGAUCCAAUUUUCAUAAAGUUUAGACACAAUGGAAGUUUUUUGUACAAUAACCUCUUGGUGCACCUGAAUUAUUCAUUACCAUUGUCUCUUGAAAAAUAGGCGCUAUUCAAAUCCUAAAGCACUUGAGAGCAGGAGGCAAAUUUGUUUUAAUGAAGCUAUAAUAUCAUGCAGGUAAGGAUGACAAAUUACGAGUUUAUGCUGAGUUUUUUCAAGCUCAUGUCUAAGUCCAUGUUAUUAGUAAUAGGUCCACACCCUCUAAAAGUCUAUCCAAACUUGGACAAUCUGAGCCUGCACUGGACUUGUGCUUCCAUUAAUUUUUUAAAUAAAUUUUUAAUAAAGCAAAAAGUUAAAAAUAAAAUAUUUAAAUUAGUAAUGAUUAUUCAAUACAUAAUCGAUAAAUAAUCAAAUACAACCAUUAACUAAGCCAAUUCACAACUAGCUUUAAAUUUUUUUACCCAUGUCCAUGGCAUCACGAAACAAGCUGGGCCUAAAGUCCAUGACCCUAAGUUGGGCCGACCCUAACUUUUUUGCCCACCCUACAUCGAGGCCUUGAUUUACAUUCUAUUUUUAUAUCAUAUUUUCUUUGUUAUCUCAUUAUUGUAAUCACUAUUUUAAAUAGUAUAACAUUGUUUUAACUAUAAUCAUUGUUAUUUAUAAAGUCCCAAUUUAUAAUUUGUAAUUUCAGAAUGCAUUCCUCCUAUUCCAUUGUAUUUCCCCUAUGAAUACUUGGAAAAUGGUAGAAGCUAUUGGACCAAAAAAUUAACACCAACUCCGAAUUUUGUUACUAAGAUAUAAAAAUUCUUAGUUUCCUAUAGUUACAAAACCACAUAUAAGUAAAAAUUUCAAGUCCAUCAAUGUCAAAAUUUGGUAAAAAUUCAAGGAUCAUCAUUACCAAGUACGCUGUGAUUUUAUUUUCAUUAGUUUGCCGAAAGCUUUGAAACAAUUUAUUUUUUUGCCAAAAUAUGAAUCCGACGGUAUGAAACAAAGCACCAUUAUCAUAUUUUUUCAGAAAAGAAUCUUGGCCUAUUUGUUCAAUACAUCAUCUUCUUCCUUAAUUGAUAUUCGACUGAACAGACUCUCUUCAAAUUUAUGAACUGACAAGUGAAAACUUCUUAGUCCAAUUCUCCAAGAUCUCUCAUUUUUCCCGGGGAGUGGAAUUGAAGAGUCGGAUUCUGAAAAAAAUCCAAUUGGCAAAUAUUUGAUAUUAACGAAUAAAAAUUCACCCCAAAUCCUCUCUUUCAUCACCUAUAUUUAGGAAUGACAAAAAUCUCCAUGGGGUCGGGGGGGAUUUUCCCCAUUCGAGGAGGGUAUGAGGAUAAUUUUAUACCUAAUUUUUUAUUCGGAGAAGGGACGGGAAAAUUUUUUUACUCAACUUCUUAUUCGGGGAGGGGAUGGGGAUGAGGUGGAAUCCCCAUCCCCUACCCAUUUCCCCAUUUUAAUUUUAAUUUUAAUUUUUUAAAAUUACUAGUAAAUAAAUAAUAAAAUUUGAAUUAUAAAAUUAUAAAAAUUGGUAGAAAGAACAAAUAUCAAAAUAUUUAUAUUAUUAAACUUUUAGGCCUAAUUAACUAAUUAAAGUCAUAAAUUUUUGUUUAGGACAUUAAAAAGACUGGAUAGAUUCUAUUAGCCCAAAAAUUUAUUUUAAUUUUAAUAUUCAUUAAAUAUUUUAAACUUAAAUAUAUUUUUUAUUUAUUUUUAGAUGUUAUAAUUGCCCACAGCGAAUCACAAUUUUAAUAUCUAAUUUAAUUUAAUCUAAUAUUUGCUCUUGAUUUGCUCUGACUUAACUAUUGUGCUGUAAAGGGAAUAAUCCACAUUUAUAAAGUGCCCACGCCACCAUUGAAAAAGUUAAUUUUGAAUCUAAAUUUGAUUUUAUUUGUAACAAUUUGUAUUAGACUAUUAAUUUAUUCAUGAUAGUUUGUAUCCCUUGCAUGCUGCGUUACUUACUAAUUUAAUGUUUGUGACUUUUGUAAUGGAUAUUAAUGUAAGAUAUUUUUCGAACUUUACUUUUAUUUGAAUUUUUUAUUUUAAUAUGAUUAACUCAAAUCGAAAAUAAAAAAAUGUAUUAGUUAUUCGGGGAUCGGGGACCUUCGGGGAUCCCCUAUUAUUAUUCGGGGAGGAGAUGAGGAUUCUCUUAAGUAAUUCUGAUGGGGACGGGAAGGGAAUGGGGACAUACGCAAAAUAUCGACAAUGGAUACAGGGAGAUUGGUCCCCUCCCCUCCCCUCCCCUCCCCAUUGCCAUCCCUACCUAUAUUUCAACAUUAGCAUUAAUGGUAUUAAAAAAUAAUAAAGAUAGAUUGUCAUCGUAUAUGUCAAGUGACACAGAAAAUAAAAAUAGGAGGAUAUUGAUAAAACAACAAUAUAAAAUGAACAAUGUUGAAUAAUAUAAAUGACAUUUGGAACAAAAAUCAUAAAUGACAUUUGCGGUUUUGAUCUUGGUAUGGGCUUAAGUCCACCCAAAUUGCUAAUCAAAGGAUGCAAUUCCUUAUGAGCUGAUCAUUUACAUCCUUCCAAGCACUGUGAGAUAUUACAUGUCCUAAUUUCGUACAAAAAACAUUGGAUUGUGUGUUUCUAUUUAUAAGUGUGCAGGUUUUGUGUUUUCUGUGAUUUCUUGAAUAAGUAUGUAAUAAGACUGCAAUAAAAGAUUUUCCCAAUUUUACUUCUCAAUAUGUUCAUUAAUUGGAUCAAAUGAAAUCAUGCAUGAACUCUUAUGAUAACAUUUUUUGACCAACAUUUCUCAUUAUUGGUUUUGGCAGUCUCUUCUUUUAGCGAACACUGGCAACACAACAAGAAAAUUAAAAAAAGGGGGAAACUGUUAAAUUCAUAAUCGCCUAUUUGGUUAAUUUGAUGUAUUUACGUAACUUAUAUUACAGUAGUUUCUAAAUUAACCAGCCUAUCUGGUUAAAUUAAAAAAAAUUAAUGUACUUAGAUAAUUAAUAAUAUAUGUAAAAUUACUAAUAUAACCUUUUCCUAAUGCGGUUCUGGUACGCGUUUCCUACUACAGUUUUAAUUUCAUUUAGGAAACUAGUUUCCUAUUCAAUUAGGGUAAUUGUUAUUACAUAUAUAUAUAUAAUGGGAAUAGGAAACUAUUCCCUAAUUCAGUACGGCAAGUUAUUGUCACAUUAUAAAUAUCCGUACAGAAAAAAAUUUGGUUCCAUAUAUCGCACUGAAAAAAAAUGGAGCAAUACGAAAAGAUCAGGGAGCUUGGGUCGGGGAGUUACGGCGACGUGUUUCAGGCUCUUGAUAAAAAGAGUGGUGAAUUUGUUGCUGUCAAGAAAUUGAAGAAGAAGAUUUUUUCUUUGGACGAGAGCAGGAACUUGAAAGAAGUUAAAUGUUUAAGGAAGAUGAAUAAUCAUCCCAACAUUGUCAAAUUGAGGAAUCUUGUCAAAGAACACGAAGACGUAUUCAUUGUGUUCGAGUACAUGGAAUCUGAUCUUCUAAAACUUAUGAAAGAAAGAGCGGGUCAAAAUUUCUCUGAAGAUGAAGUCAGAAACUUGUGUUUCCAAGUGUUUCAAGGUCUCCAUUACAUGCACCGACAGGGUUAUUUUCACCGUGACCUAAAGCCUUCCAACUUGCUUGUUUCGAAAGGUGUGAUCAAGAUAGGGGAUCUUGGAAUGGUGAAGGAAAUUGAUUCCAGUCUGCCGUGCACUGAUUAUGUUACAACUCGCUGGUAUCGAGCUCCUGAAGUGUUACUUUUAUCCGAGAUAUAUGGACCUGAAGUGGAUAUGUGGGCGAUGGGUGCUAUUAUGUUCGAGAUGUUGAGUUUCAGGAUUCUUUUUCCGGGAAAAAAUUCAGCUGAUCAAAUUUACAAAAUCUGCCAAGUGAUUGGUAGCCCCACCGAGGAUUCUUGGCCUCUUGGAAUUCAACUCGCGAGCAAUCUCGACUGGAAGUUCCCGCAGAUGGGUGGUGUGAAUCUGCGUGAGUUGUCACCAUCAGCUAGUCGAGAAUCCAUCAGCUUGAUUUCACGGCUUUGUUCCUGGAAUCCACACAUGAGGCCUACGGCUGCGGAAGCUUUGGAACAUCCUUUCUUCCGGAGUUGCCAUUUUGUUCCUCGAUCGGUGCCUCUUCUUUGCAAUAAUUUUGAAGCCGUUGCGUUCCCUACUGCCACAGUCACAAUGCAAGGACGUUCUUUGACAUAUUCUGAGGUACCGAAUGAUGGGCAAUUAUGUCCGUGCUUCAAAUGUGAGAUGCAAAGAAAUAACAAUGAUCAAUGGAUCAUCAACUCUGCCAAAUCGGCAACCUCCAUGAUUUAUAAAACUGGUCACCCGACUACAACUGAGAUUUUGGCUUCCCGCAUGCAACCAUUGCAGCAGCUGAUGAUGUCGAGGCCUCCCGGAUUUUGAAGAAAACGUUAAGGCUGGUUAUUGUAUUUGUACUUAGAACCUAACCACGUACGUACUAAUUGUACUGUCAAAGAUUAUUCAAUGCAUCGAUAUUCAUCUCCUCAACUUCCCUAUUACCUGUUACGUUGAAUUCAAUGAGUGUAAGUCCAUAAGCAAAUACAUACACGCGCGCGCGCGCAUACAUACACACAUAAAUACACACACACACACAUAUAUAUAUACAUACAUACAUACAUACACACACACACACACACAUAUAUUAUUACAUACAUGUAUGUAUGUAUAUAAACCACUACCUGAACAGCCUUUACAAAGGCUGCUAAGAAUAGUUGGAAGUAGUUCACUGUACCCAAGCUAAUAAUUUCAUUUUGAAUGAGUAAUUCCGUAUCGUUUGGAGUGCUGAUGAGGUAACACCUCACUAUAAUGCAGUCAUUAAAAUAUAAAGGGUAGCCAUGCAUCCUCUCAAAAGCUAUAAGAUUCCUGUAGAAAGGCUUUGUCUUAUGAAAAUAUACCGUUAGAGAUAGAAUUUCCAGAAUUCCUUGAUUAAAUUUAAUGUCAAGUAGAUUUUUGCUUGACCCCGUUUGAAACUUGACUCCGGCUUGGUGAAGUUACUUUACACUGGGUAUCUUUUGAUCUUUCAAUUCAAUUAUGGCACGCGGCUGGGAUGGCGGAAGACAGAGUAUAAGCAAGUCAACAAAAUGCUGUGCUCUGAAAAAGUGGAUUUCUAACAAGUUCUCCUGUAUUGGAAGAAAUUGAAGCAUAUCUGCACGGAACCAAUAACAGGUAAUUGCAAUAAAGGGAAUUUUUCGGUACAAGUCUGUUGGACCAAGAUCAGCAAAUAACCGAUCUUGAUCCCCCAAGAUCCACUCGACUUAGCUUUAAUCAAAGAACCAACUAUGAUCCACUAAAACUUUAUGAAACCACAGAUUCGAAUCAACAGAUAGCAAGCUUAAAGAAGAGCAAAAACAAUCACACACGAACACAGAAGAGUUAUAAUGGUUCAGCCACCAGGUGACCUACAUCCACUGUAAAAGAGAGAGAGAACUUUCACUGAUUUGGUGUUUUCAAGAUACAAGCAAUCUGAGAAACUGUCAUACACUAAGGCUAGCCAAAACCGAGACCAUGAAGCCUUAUAUACACGCCUAGAUUGCUCUAGAAACAACCCCCAGAAGCCAGUGUUACAUCCCUGGGUUUGUUAGUAACAAACCCAGAAUUUUCCCGCUUCUAUUAAUGGCAUUAACAGCUGUUUUUUCUUUUUUGUCUGAACUACGAGGUGGUUUUGAGUGAGCCCAAUUGUAGGAGGCAUCUUUAAGCUAGUACCACAAUUCAGAUUAAUCUCCGCUCGCACUGGAUUAGCUUGUAAGGAGUAAAAUACUGGCCAAAGUGGUGACUUCAUACGAGAGCGGGGUUUGAACCCCUGACCUCUCUUAAGAAGUGAGAGUGACAGACCACUCACACCAACCAACUUUGGUUGGCAUUAACAGUUGUUUAAACCAGCCUAAAAAACACGUGUUGCAGCUUCAUCCAAAACGCAACCUUUCUUUGCCGUUUAGAAUACGUGAAGUCAUGUGCCUCAACGUGUGCUUAACUUAUUCACUUGGCUGAUCUACCAGGCUUGUCAUAAGUCUCCCUUUUGCUACUCAACCGACAUAUCUUCCAAUCUUGGAACACAAGAUUGACAUGUCAUAUUUAACCACAAUUCCAGAUUUGUGGUUCGCUUCUCAACAAAGUCAUUUUGAUUGGUUGCUGUUUUGGCUACAUUAAACAAGUCAUUGAGGUCAUUGAGAAUGAAUGGUGGAAGCCGAUUUUCUAGCAGCAGAGAGUCGUGCCGUAUUUCCAAGUACAAAUUCGAUUUUCCAAUUAUGCGAUCAUCAUCAGUUCUCAAAUAAGGUUCAAAAUAUCUAAGAAAGAGCUCAAUGAGAAGGACAGCAUCCACUAAAACCAUUUUUGCCAACUCAUUGCAAUUAAGAGGAAUGGUUUCUGCAUAAGAAUUGCGCAAUUUUGGUUCCCUUUCCUUAAUAAAUGCAAAGAAACUUGCCAUGCGUACCUUAGUUGUUGAAGAAAGUAUGUUAGGUAUCCUUUUUUGUGCUCUUCCAUGGCUUUUAGCUGUUCCUUUCCAUGAUGAAACGGGCCAAUUGAGAUCAUUUUUUAGUGUAAUCACUUGGAUGUAGACGCCGCGUGUCUCAGGAACUCUGUAGAUGGAACACUUUCCGGAUAAGGGAUGCAAUGGCUUCAGUUCCCUACUGAAAGAAUCUGCUAAUUUCUCCACUUCAAUUGAUACAUGCUCUUGAGCUUGCUCCCUAUCAUCCGCAUAUAUUCAAUCGGUUGCUAAAAGAAGCAUAAUGAAAUAAACAACACUCGCUUGGAAAAAUUUUAGUUGGGUGCUCAGCUCAUUUUCUAUCUGCUCCUUGCCAAGUGUAUGUUUCAAGAAAUUUUGAUAAUAUUGAUACACAUAUAUUUAUAAUGAAUGGAUAAGGAGUAAUCCUUCAAGAACACCAAAAAUAUAUCAACGUAGUGUGUGUAUAAAUUAAUUAGAUAAUUAACACAAAAGUUAAGACAAAAAAAUUGAAUACUCACAUCGCUUUCUGUGUGACCUCCGUAUUAGUUGUGGAUGAACAAACACAAUGAUAUAUAUGAUCGAUCUAGUCCACUGUAUAAAUUGGUUUAUAUAUAUAUAUAUAUAUAUAUAUAUAUGGAGUGAGAGCGAGAGAGAGAGAGAGAUUCGAAUAAAUUCAUAUUGAACAUCAAUUCCUUUCUUCGGACAUAGCACUUCUCUUGUCCUUUAUGGAAUCUCUUUCACUAAAGUCAAAAGUGUUGGCUUAUUGAUUCCAAUUUAAUGAGAUGCAUGCUUUAAGCAUUAUUAUUGAAAUCGUUUAAAAUUACGAAAAAGAAAGUCGAGAACAAUGAUUAUACUUGCCGUUAGAGAAAUCGUUUGACACAAUAGUACGAGAAGUACGGAAGCAAGCCCCUGUGAAUUUUAGGUGGACCUCAUGCCUUGUAUCAGACAAGAAGCAAUGACAAAGGACAAAUGUACAAAAUUGGGAUCUGAAUAAUGACAUAUGUAUAUUAAUACAUACAAUAAAAUUAAUUGAAGUAAAUGAUUUGUUUAUUAGCCCUUUUGCCAUAUUUUUGUCCUCAAUUUGUACACAUACAAUCUAAUUUAGCACAACUAAAUUGUCUAGUAAUAUAGUGUGAGUCCACUCGUAUAAGAGUUAGGUAAAUCAUUGAAAGAAAAUCUAAAACUGAAGAUUGCCAAGGCUUAGCAAUCAUAAUAGUAGCCCAAAAAUUUUGAUUUAUCCUGUCUUGAAUAUUCUCUCAAUUAAAUGACACCUCUAUCAAAUGUGCAAAUGCUUCAUUAUGAGAGGAUCUUCUUCAGCUUAUUUAAGACGCCUUGCAUCGUAAUAAUAGGUCAUCAUAGUAGGUUUUACCAUUUUAUAUCAUACAUAUUAUACAUACUAGAGCUUCUUGGGGGGAAAAAAAUCAACAGGUGCCUAUAGAUUUCUAAAUACUUAAAUAAAAAUAAAACUUUGAAAAAAAUAAUAACAACCACCACAUAUCUAAACCGAUCGAGAGAAAUUUGUCCUUAAACGAAAGCAAAUUAGAAGAUCUAAUAAAAUAAAGAAUCAUUUGCUUUUCCGACAGUGAGAGCCAAAGCAAGUUCGGUUCGUAAGAGGAAGCUGAGAAAGGAGGGAGAAGUUGAGGGUGAGGAAAUGAUUUGGCAGGCUCCACAUGAUUAGUGACAAGAUUAUAUAAAAGCUUUGAAGAGUGAGUGUUUGAAGAGAAGAUUUCUUAGUUUGAUCAUUUAUACAAACUAAGAAAAGAAAAUUAAAAUAACAUGAAUUAUUCUGGAAAAAAAGAAGGGACUAAUUGGGUAAUCUUUCAUUUGCAAUUUAUCUCCAUGAUUUCCUCAAUGAACUAGCCGAUUGAGGACUCUGUUGAUUUGCCUUGAUUGUCUGCUUUAAGAAUGAUUGAAAGACCUUAGCUAAAGCAAUGCAAAAUGCCAUAUUUGAUUUAGCAAGAUUGUUUCCGUGAGUGUUACUUUGAAUUCUGACGUUAUCAGCUAUUUGACUUUUUUAUUAUUAUUUUUUUAACAAAGAAAAUUAAAUUUCUUUGCACCCAAAUCAUAAUUUAUGCUCUUUCAAUGUACCCUAAAGAGGUUAAAAAACAAAAAAAACAAAAACAAAAAAACGAAAAGGAGAAAAACAAGGAAAAACUUAUGAAAGAAGUUAUUUCGCUUUGGGAAAAAAAAAACAGGAGAAUUGACUGGGUUUGCUCCCCAGUUCGAGUCGCAGGGAAGUCACCUUUGUUGGGAGAAUCUGUGCCUCUCGAUUCAAGUGGGGACUUCUAGUCUGGGUUGUGGUACGGGCUUAAAAGUGUCUCUCACAGUUGGGGCCCUCCCCAAGAUACCUCGUGGUCAAAACCAAAAAAAAAAAAAACAGGAGAAAGAGAUGCCACACGUAUAUUUCUUGGAAUUCAUUCAACACGUGCAUUAUAAUUCGAUUGGAUAAAAGGUAAAUAUGACAAGAAUUCAAAUUUGUUAAAUAUGUUUCACUCUAAAGGAAUUAUAAUUUAAUUAAAGAUGAAUCAAUUAAAAAAAAAAGUGUCGAACAAUCAUAGACAGAAAAAGUAGGAGAAUAAUUUUAUUAAAAAUUUAAAAGACAAAAAAUGUUAAUGAGAUCACAACCUUAUUCAUAGUAGACUACAUAUUACCAACAUAACGAACACCCAAAAAAAGAAAAAGAAAAAAAAGAAAGAAAACACACGCACUCACAUACAAAUACACAGACAUUAGAUAUACAGUAACUUCACCAUGGCAAAGUUGAGUAUAUUCUUGCAUAAAAUCAUAUCUCAGUUAAGGAAUUAACUGCCCUGCAGUUCUUCCUAAUCUCACCAUUAGUCCCGGUGAGUGGACUUACAUUCCCCAUUUUGAUCAUAGAAUUAACAAAAUUAGCAAAGAAAAGAUUUGAGUUGCUGCUAUAGCUUUCAACAAGACUCUCAGUAGUUGAUUUGGCCUCAUCACUAGAGUAUAGAAUUUGAUCAGAACUAAGAAGGCCCUUAUUGUUGAUCAAGUUCUGGAAGUAAUGGUUGUCAAAUAGAUCAAUCGAGUUCCGAUCAAGCGGCGUCGUAUUGUUUCCGUCCCCGUUCGCACAUAGGCUCUGCAAUUCGGACACCAAGCUUGUGUCCAUUGUAGCGUCUGGAGCACCUGUUCCUGAGAAGUUGGAUAGUCUAUUGCUGAAGAAGGCACAUUUUGCGAAUCCAAUUGUAUGAGCACCUGCACAUAAACAUUAAAAUUACCAAGCUCGCACAUUAUGGGAGUUCAAAAAGGGGUCCUGGGAUUCCUAAUGCAAACUUUUGGGAUAUUUUUCAAACAUUGAGAAAAUUUCGGAUAGAUAAAUGAUAAUUUUCUUAUUUUAAUAAUUUUAAAUAAGUUAAACUAGUAGAGGAGCCAAAUUUAUAUAGAAUGUCAUUACUUUACGAUUUAAAGUGAUCCCGAACGAAGGCUAAUUAGUUAUGAGUUGAUACAAAUAUAUGGUGAUAGAGAGGUCAAAUAAAUUACCUGACAAGGACACUAGGUCUUUAAUAUUUAGACCCACGGCUGCAAACUUGGCAGUGAGAAUGUUUAGCCCCUCAAACGGUGAAGGAAGAGCAUUGGCACCUGUCUGGUUUGCCACCAGUCCAUCUCUUCUUCCCAGCAGAACUUUCCAUGUAGGUCCUCCACUCUGCAAAAUAUUGUCAUAGUAUUUGUAUAAGUAAAAGUUAACCUCAUAAAGUUCAAAUAUAAAGAGAAAAUUUUAAUUUUCUCAUACCAUUAGAAUAUGAAAAAAAAAAUUCUUUAUCUAUUAAUUGGUAGAAUCCUGUGAACUAAGAUGACUUAGUCCCUGCUUGAUAAUUUAGUUCAACAGUUCUAUCUUUUAAGACACAAUACUAAAGUAUUUGGUAAACAAUUGUUCUAGUGACUUUAAAAUUAAGUUAAUUUUGUCUCAAAUUAUUAUGAUGAAAAUUUUAUAAUAUCUCUAUUGUUUUUGUCAAAAUUAUUAUUGAAAACUAUAUUUACUAUACAUUAUCAACCUUUAUUCUAUAGUUGCUACUUUUUUCUAUAGUAGCUGUGGCUUAAAAAAUAUGAAAUCCCAAUAUCAAACAAGGUCUCAAGUUUCUCAUGUCUCUAUUUCUUUUAGUCCCAUGGAAUCUAUAUGAGAAGAACAAUUAAUCAACCAACUUACCAAGAGCACUGAAUCUCUUGCAGCUAUGGCUAAAAUAUCAGCACAUGAUACAACUCCACUGCAUUGAUCUUCCACGGCAGUUUUUAUUGCGUCAAUAACUUCAAAUCCUCGUGCUGAGUUCCGGUUAGGCGCGGCAAACUUCUCACUGUCACUUCCAUCCAAUAACACUGAUGCAUCACAACCCUAUAACAAAGAAGGAGAUCAAGUUUAUAAUAAUUAUAAUUACCAAAUGAUGAAUAAUUUAGGGAAAAAAUGAUAGUAAAAUUAAUGAUACAUACAUUUUAUUUAUUCAUAAACUAGUGUACAGUAUACUAUACUUUUAGCCGUGCAAUGCAAGAUUAAAGCUGCUUGAACUGAGAAUAUAUAAGUACUUGAUCCAAAAAAGAAUAAAAAUGAAACUAUAAUAUGUUAGUCUUGACUCAUGAAUUAAACUAAAAAAUCAUUUUUGAGUUUGGUAUAUCAUUCAUUCUUUUUCACAAGUCUUCUUUAGAUAUGUCACGUGAAUUAAAUCCAAACAACUCAUACAAUUAUGUGCAAAUUAUAUUUAAUUUGUAUUCGAAAAUAUUCGAGCAGGGGACAUUUAGGUCAAAUAUAUAUGCUGUGGAUCAUACUGAACUACCAAUUUGACUUAAUAUUAGUGAAAGCUUAAAGGCAGGUGCCCAACAAUCUACAGUAACUUUUGAACACUUAAGAUAUAUGCUUGGCACAUCAAGUAGUGAUAACUCCGGAUUUAAUCGUUUUCCAAUGUUUUUUUAUAAAAGACUGCUAGCAACCCAUUAGGCCCUAGAGUCUUUGUUGGACACAUCUGUGCUAAGGCUUCAACAACUGCCUCUGUUGAGAAAGGCUUGUCCAAUUUCUCGUUCAUGUCAUUUGAGAGCCUUAGUGUUAUCCUUGAAAGAGCUGCUGCUAUUUGGUUCUAGCUCGGUCUGGAUGUGGUGAACAGAUUUGUGAAAUAAGUGCAAAACUCAUACUCCAUUUCUUCCACAUUCUCAAUCCAUCUUCUUGUUUCAUCUUCAAUUCCCCAUAUUCUAUUCUUUUUCUUUCGCGAUAAGGCUUUAUGAUGGAGAAACUUAGUGUUCUUAUCCCCCUCUUUAAGCCGAUCCGCUCUCGAUUGCUGUUUCCAGAAAAUCUCUUCAUCGGCCAAUAUGUUAUGAAUAUGUCUCUCCACCCAUUUAAUUUCAUCCUCAAAUUCAUACUGCACCUUUUUUCCUUUAAGCUUUACAACUGUUUUUUCAACUUCUUCAGUUUAUUUUCUCUCCCUUUAAAUUCUUCCUUACUACACAGAAUAAAAGUAGCCAUGGAAUCUUUAGUCGCCUUCUGGGAUAAAUGUAUGGGAUCAUCAAUGUUCCAGCAUCCAUGUUUAUGCCAUUCUUCUUCAAUUAUACUUUUACAGGUGUCAUAUGAACUCCACAUAUCUUAAUAAUGGAUUCGUGAAGUUCUCCUUCUUUGAUAAUUCAGGUCAUUACCUCUAUCCUGAACAUCCAUCAACACUGGGUUGUGAUCGAAUAUCCAACUCUCGAGAUUAGCAGCUACAUAUUCAAUAAAUCUCUCACUUCAAGCCUCAUUGCAUAAAAAUCUGUCUAAUCGUUCUUCCACAAAGUCAGGGCCAAAUAUUACAUUAUCCUAUGUAAAUAGAUAUCUCAUGUAGCCCACAUCCUUUAGAUUCCAAUCUCUCAAGGAUUUUCUGAAGUCACUAAUUUGGUUUGGAUUUCUAUCAUUGCCACCAUUCAUCUUAUAUAGGUGUAAAAUUUCAUUAAAAUCACUGAAACAUAACUAAGGUGUGGAAGAUAAACCUAAUAGCCGUCUCAACAAUGUCCAUGUGUGCUUUUUUUGCUGCAUCUCCGGAUGUCCAUACACCUCUGUACAUCGCAUUUGCUUUUCAUUGCCUAUUUGUUGUUCAGCAUCAAUGUGGUGCUUGCUAAAUGACUUAAUAUGCACACAAAUUUCAAAGUUCCAAAGCAUUGCAAGACCUCUUCCCCUUCCACUACUAUCCACAACAAAACAGCUAUCAAAAUUUAGCUUACUACGAACCGUAUCCAUUUGCAUAGAUUGCAACUUUGUCUCACUCAAAAACACAAGUUGAGGUCUAUGAAUUUGGAGAAUUUGUUGCAUUGCUAGGAACAUCCGGGAAUUCCCUAAACCCCGAACAUUCUAGCUGAGGAUUUUCAUGGCUUCUAGCAUUCUUGAUCGCCAGCCUCCACCGAUAUCUCUUCUAUGUUUGAGUCUGCAAUUUCUAUUCCCUUCAUUGCCAACGGUUCCCAGCUCAAAUUGAGUUUUGCCACUGGUGAAUUCAGCUGAUAUUGCUUUGUUUCUAAUUUGGGUAGGCUAGUCACUUUCAUCUUCUUUUAUUUUGAACUUGGCUCAGUUAGCUCACAACUUGGCCUUUUUAACGCCCCUAACCCAUAUUUGUUUCCACCAUUGGAGUUUGUGUUUCGGACUUGUAAUUUCCAUUUCCUUCUAUUGGGCCUCAUUGGAGCUCUUCGAGACUAAUUUCCUGUCUUUGCUUCAUUCGCGCCUUCUUAGCACAGUAUCUCCUCAUAAACUUUAAUUGGUGUUACCUCUAAAAUUUCUCGCUUGUUUUUAACAUUUUUAUUUCUCGCCUGAAUUCCCAUAUUUCCAGGUCCUCUUGCGUUUCCCUCUAUCUCAUGCUGCGUUUUGCCGCUUGCUUGUUGUGCCAUUGUUAUUUCCAAUACACCAUUCAUUAAAUGUUUCUCACAUACUCGUUCCACCUCAUCACCUAUAGCUAAUUCAUAAUUUUGACCCAUUUCUUCCUGAUCGAGUCUUGAUUUGGUUUUGUCAAUCGGGUUACUUUGACUCUGCUGAGGUUGUUGUGAGCAGUCGUGGUGUUUUGAGUUUGCCGCAUUACUCACUGAUUUGCCACUAUCCCUAUUCCAUUUCUCCUUGAUAUGGUGCUUCCUUGAGCGUCCUCCCACUAUAACUACCUUAAUCCACAUCUCAUAUGGAAGUUCCUCUUUUCGUUGGCCCUGAUACUUAGCACACUCCUUGAAUUAAUGGCCAAUAACUCCACAGUAGAAAUAAAAGUCAGGCAAUCAUUCAUAAUCUACAUGCAUUGGAAUAUCUGCUUCAUCCUCUUGUAAGAUCUUUUGUAAUGGCUUAUUCAUAUUGAUCGAAAUUAUAAUUCUUACAAAUUCCCCAAUAUAUUCACUAUAUUCUUUUGUUUCAACCUCCUCUACUAUUUCAAUCUUCUCGCCCUAAUUCUUGGAGAAAAUAUCUUUCCAUACAGCAACCGAGACAUUUCGAAUCUGCACCCAGAAUUCUGUAUGAGUGAAAGACUGUUUUGUGAUCUCCCCAAUUCUUUUCGGUUCUGUAAGGACAAUUAAGGCCCUAUCGAAGUGCCAAAGGCCUCCUGCCAUCACCCUUCUUUUAUUAGCUUCAUCUGCAAACUUGAAAAUAAAGAUAUUAGCACCCAAGCUCUCUAUCAUAACUUCUUUAAUUGUCCUUUAAACUUGCAGUAAUGCCAUAUUCAACCCCUCCUUAUGAACUCCUCUCGUAAGAAGUAUCUUGCCCAUCAACCAGCCAACCAAAACCUUUUCUCUUUUUUCUUUCAUUAUCACUUCCAAAGUUACUAUAUUUUUUUCUUUCUCUUUGAUAGUUAUCACUUUACACUUACGAAUUAAUUCCUCUGUAUCCAUAACAUUUAAAACCUUUCAGAAAUAAUUGUUGCAUUCAAUGUUCUAAAAGUAACCUUGUGUUCAAACCCCUUACCUGUAACACCCUAGACAAUGAAAGAAAUUCUAUGAAGAGUAUAAUUCUUGUUCUGUAAUUUUAAUGAAAUUUACAGAGUUAUUUAUACAAAAUAAAGACAAAGUAGCCGUUGAAAGGCUUAAUAAUAUUAAAGGAAAAAUAAGUAACUUCCUAAACUAUUGCACAAUAUCUUUAUAAAAUAGGAAUGAAAUAUUCCUACAUGAUAUUGGCAUUCAAGUGUAAAAAUCGUGCUAGAGAUAUUCCUUGACAAAUAGCUUUGACGUGAGCAAGCUGUGUGGAGUGAUAAACCCUUUGUUGACUUGACCGUUGAUGACUUUCCUUUUGGUAAUCUUGGUCAGCUUGCUUAACAUCCCCCCUCAAGCUGGCAAGUGACAUUUGAUGAACGCCAAGCUUGUAUCUGAAAUCGCGGAACAUGGCUUUUGACAAAGCCUUAGUAAAAACGUCUGCAAUUUGUAACGAAGAAGGGACAAACCUCGUAACCAAGGCACCAUCAGCAACCUUUUCUCUAAUGAAGUGAUAAUCUAAUUCAAUAUGCUUCGAGCGAGCAUGAAAGACUGGGUUAAUAGUCAUAUGCAAGGCACUUAAAUUAUCACUUAAAAGUUGUGGAGGUUGAGCAAGAGGAAUGCCAAUUUCUCGGUACAAGUAUGUGAUCCAUGUGAGUUCUGCUGCUGUAGAAGCAAGGGCUCGGUACUCAGCUUCAGCACUGGAUUUAGAGACAGUUGGCUGUCGUUUUGAAGACCAUGAGAUGCAAUUUGCACCCAUAUAGACACAAUAUCCCGUGGUACUUCUCCGAGUGUCUGGACAGCCUCCCCAAUCAGCAUCACAAAAGGCAAUAAUAUUAAGAGAGCUUUGUUGGAGAAAUCUGAUCCCAUAAUCCAAGCUCCCUUUUAAGUACCUGAGAAUACGUUUAACAGCACGUAAAUUAGCCUCAGUGGGUGUUUGAAAAUGUUGACAUACCUUAUUGACUGCGUGAACGAUGUCCGGCCUUGUUAGAGUGAGAUAUUGGAGCCCUCCAACUAAUCGUCUAUAUUCGGUUGCAUUGACGGGCUUGUGAUCAAUGGGGUUGGCUUGUUCUUUGAUGGCCAUAGGAGUUGACAAACUAGUGCUUUCUAGCAUCUUUGCUUUGGUCAGUAAGUCUUUGGUGUAUUUGGUUUGAGAAACAUAAAUACCUCCAGAGAAAUACCGAAUCUCAAGUCCUAAGAAGAAAUGGAGCUGUCCCAAAUCCUUUAAAGCAAACUCAAUGCUUAGUUGAUGAAUAAGUUGGUCAAUUAGAAAAGUAUUGUUGCCUGUCACCACUAUAUCAUCAACAUAAAUUAGCAUUAGGAUUAAUGAGUCAUUAUUAUGAAAUAUAAAUAAGGAAGAGUCGGCUUUACUGCAUAUGAAACCCAAUUGAAGUAAAUAAUGAGAAAGCCUAUCAAACCAAGCACAGGGUGCUUGUUUAAGACCAUACAAGGACUUGUUAAGCUUACACACAUAAUCAGGAUAUAAAGGAUUAGAGAAACCAGGAGGUUGUUCCAUAAAAAUAGUUUCUUUUAAAAAACCAUGUAAAAAAGCAUUUUUAACAUCAAGUUGUCUCAUGGUCCAAUUUAAUGUUACAGCAAGAGAAAAAAUUAACCGAAUUGUGGUAGGUUUAAUCACAGGACUAAAGGUUUCUUCGAAAUCCAAACCUGGAAUUUGUGUGUAUCCUUGUGCUACAAGACGCGCCUUGUAUUUGUCUAUGGACCCAUCUUCCUUAAACUUAGUUCGAUACACCCAUUUUGAUCCCACUAUGUUUGUAUUCACUGGCCUUGGUACCAAACUCCAUGUAUUAUUCUGAUGGAGAGCAUCAAGCUCUUCUAACAUAGCUGUGCGCCAAUGAGGUUGUCGAAUGGCGGUUUUGAAGUGUUUUGGCUCUAUUGUUGUAGUAAGAGCCAUUUUAUCAACCAACUCAGGGUGAUGACGCAACUUGUGUCUAGUUAUCAUUUGAUGAGUGUUGCUUGUUUCCGGCUCUUUGGGAAUACGAAGAUCUACAAAUAUAUCAAUGCCUUUAGUUGACUGAGGAGUAUUAGUUUCUAACUCCAAAUGAGUGCUGCCAGUUCCUAUAUUGUUCUCUGAAUCUUGCUCAGUUGAAGUGAUAUCAAAUUCUUCAAAUGAUGCUGAGCUAGGGCUUAAGCUGGCUUGAUUAUCUGUAGAGGCUGAAUCGGUGUGGAUGACUAUAUCAUGAAUUUCACGUGGGACUUGUUGGCUUGUGUCCAAGUCAUGCAUGUUUGAGUUCAUUGUGUUUUGAAGACCUAUAGAGUUUGGAUUUGCAUGAGCAACUUGUUGUUGGUUUACGUGAAACUCAUGCUGGGCUUGCUGAAAUGGGGAGCUAUUUUCAUCUAAACUAAGUAUAUCAUGGCAACGAUGUGUAUGAUAUGGCUUGUUUGUUGCUUUCUCCUUUUUAGUCCAGCUCUCAACAUCAGGAAAUGUAACAAUUUCUUGGCUGACCUGUAUAGGUAAACUUGGCAGACUAUUAGUUUUAAAGGGAAACAAAUUCUCAUCAAAAAUUACAUGACGUGAGAUAUACACCUUGUUUGUUGGUGGAUACAAACAUCGAUACCCCUUAUGUGAAGGGCUGUAUCCAAUAAACACACAAGGGUAUGUUUUUGGUGAGAAUUUAUUUUUCCUAUAAAUACGUAGAUAUGGAAAACAUCGGCACCCAAAACUUCUAAGCCCUCUGUAAUCAAAAUUUAUACCAAAAAGUUUGUAAAAGGGAGUCUUCAUAUUUAAAGUGGACGAAGGUAGCUUAUUAAUAACAUAAACAGCAGUAGAAAAAGCAUCAACCCAAUAUUGUAAUGGCAUAUUUGCAUGAAAGAGCAUUGUCAAACCUGUUUCUACAAUAUGUCGGUGUUUCCUUUCGGCAACACCGUUUUGUUCAGGAGUUGCAGGACAUGACAAUUGAUGCUGUAUUCCACAUUGACUGAGAUGACUUUGAAAUUCAUUUGAUAUGAAUUCACCUCCUCCAUCACUUUGAAAUAUUUUUAUCCUCUUGUCGAAUCGAUUUUCAACCUGUUUCUGAAACUUGAUAAAAACAUCAAAUAAAUCUGAUUUAUUUUUCAAAGGGUAUAGCCAUGUAUAACGUGUGCAGUCAUCAACAAAGACAGCAUAAUAUCUAAAAUUUUGAACAGAAGAAAUAGGAGCAGGACCCCACAAGUCGCAAUGAAUUUUAUGCAAAGGAACGCUGGAAAUUUUAUUGGAAAAAUUAAAAGGAAGUUUGCAGUUCUUUCCCAUUUGACAACUGGAACAUACAUAAUCUUUCGUAAUCCAAUUUGAAACAUCAAUAAGUUUGUUUUUAUUCAAAAACUUAAUGGACUUGAUUUGGGGGUGUCCCAUUCUUUGAUGCCAUAUGUUGUAAGGUGCUUUCCUGCCUUCAGAUAAGUAUAGGGCUGUAUGAUGUCCUUCAUCUAAAGCAUAAAGCCCUUUUGUCUUAGUUCCCUUUGCCAAGAUGUUUCCCUGAUAAUCCUUAACAACAAACUUGUUAGAUGAAAACUCAAUAAUGCAUGAAUUAUCAUGUGUGAGCUGCCCUACCGAAAGUAAAUUCUUUUUCAAGCCUGGAACCACAAGCACAUUUUUUAAAUAUAGUUUACUAAUGCCAGUGUCUAUGGAGGUGUUUCCUAUAUGUGAAAUAUUAAGACAAUCGCCAUUUCCAACAACAAUGGCAUCAUUCCCUUCAUAAGGUUUAAGUUCAGAAAUUUUACCUGGAUCAUUGACCAUAUGGGUAGUUGCUCCUGAGUCAGCAUAUAAUUUGGCAUCAUUUGCAUCCAGGUUCAUUGCAGCUAAGGCUUGUGGAAUUUCCUCAGUAAGAUGUGAGUAGUCAUACCUACGUCGACAUUCAAUGGCUGUAUGUUUCGGUAAAUGACAAAUUUGACAUAUGACAGUUUCUUCAUUGACUUCCUCAGCUUGUUGUUUGGAUUGAUUCUGAAUUUUCUGCCAAGGCUGUCCAGAAUUAUUUUGCCGAGGUUGCUGCCACUGUUGUCCCGAAUUUCCUUGCCAUGAUUGUUGCCCUUGUUGACUUGGAUUAUUGUUUGAUUUUUGCCAUGACUGACUUGCAUUAUUAUUCCAACUUUUUCCACCAUUGUAGUUGAUUUUUUGACCACUUGAAUCAGCCAAAUUUUGUCCUCCUGCUGCUGUAAAACCACGACCUUUUGAGUUAAAGAAACCUCCAUUUCCACGACCUUUUCCCUUGCCUCGUUGGCUAAAAAAGGCUUGAGCCAGAUUGAUUGUAUUCUUCUUUUCUUCUUCAAAAUUAAUAAGAGUUUGUUCAUGAUUUUCGAGGGCCAUGACAAACUGCUUAAAUGAGGGAUAAGGUGGUUUUGAAAGUUGAGCAAGUUUGAAGUCUUGAUACCCGUAGCCAAGACCUCUUGCAAGACCAAAGACUUUAUCUAAGUCAUUCACUGGUUUAUUUAUUGCAGCCAAACAAUCACAAAUAUGCUUGUAUUUGCGCACAUACUCUUCAACUGAUAGAGAUCCCUUUUUUAAUGUUGCCAAUCUGUCCAUGAGAUGUACCUCUUUUUCCUUAGUCAUCGGAAGUAAUUGAUUCUCCAAAGAUGACCAAAUUUGUUGAGCAUUUUCUACUCCAACGAUUCCACUCAUCACUUCUUCUGUCAUCAGGCUUAACAACCAAGAUGUUAACAACCCAUCAUUGUUGAUCCACAUGGUGAAAUCUUCGUUGCCAGCCUUUUCCCCAUCAGACAAUAAUAUUUCUUUUGCGGGUCUCUCAGCAUCUGUAAUAUGGUGCAGAAUGCCAAGGCUUCUGACCAAAGGGAGAACCUGUGAGCGCCACAACAAGAAGUUCGUGUUGUCUAGUUUAAUGGACACAAGACUUGAGCAUUGAUGAAAAGACUGAAUAUUUAGACUUGGCUCUUUGAUAAAGGAUGAAGAGGUUAUAUUGCUAGUACUCAUGGCUGGCUCUGAUACCAUGAAAGAAAUUCUAUGAAGAGUAUAAUUCUUGUUCUGUAAUUUUAAUGAAAUUUACAGAGUUAUUUAUACAAAAUAAAGACAAAGUAGCCGUUGAAAGGCUUAAUAAUAUUAAAGGAAAAAUAAGUAACUUCCUAAACUAUUGCACAAUAUCUUUAUAAAAUAGGAAUGAAAUAUUCCUACAUGAUAUUGGCAUUCAAGUGUAAAAAUCGUGCUAGAGAUAUUCCUUGACAAAUAGCUUUGACGUGAGCAAGCUGUGUGGAGUGAUAAACCCUUUGUUGACUUGACCGUUGAUGACUUUCCUUUUGGUAAUCUUGGUCAGCUUGCUUAACAGACAAAUCCCACAUCGGCAAAGCACAUGAGAGAUAAUGGGUUUAUAAAGGGUGAUCCACACGUUAAUUGGCAAGAUGUGUUUUGGGGUGUAUGGGCGCCGUAGAAACAAACAUGUGCGGGCCUUGUUAAGGUCCAACGCAGACAAUAUCUUGCCAAGUCUGGGUUGGGUCAUGACAUUAUGGUAUCAGAACGGCUCUGCAUGUCCUCUUAAGCAAUGGUGGGGCAAACCUCAGUGAGGACACUGAGUCCCCAAUGGGGUGUAUGUAACACCCUAGGCAAAUCUCAUAUCGGCAAAGCAUGGGAGAGAUACUGGGAUUAUAAAAGGUGAUCCACACUUUAAUUGGUAAGACGCAUUUUGGGGUGUAUGGGUGCCCCAGAAACAAAAUCGUGCAGGCCUUAUUAAGGCCCAAAGUGGACAAUAUCUUGUCAGAUCUGGGUUGAGUCAUCACAUUAUGGUAUCAGAGCGGCUCUGCGUGUCCUCUUGAGCGAUGGUGGGGCAAACCUCAGCGAGGACGCUGAGUCCCCAAGGCGGUGUAUGUGACACCCUAGGAAAAUCCUACAUCGGUAAAGCACUGGAGAGAUGUUGGGUUUAUAAGAGGUGAUCCACACCUUAAUUGGCAAUACGCAUUUUGGGGUGUAUGGGCGCCCCAGAAAACAAACUCAUGUGGGCCUUGUUAAGAUCCAAAGCGGAUAAUAUCUUAUUAGGUCUGGGUUGGGUUAUGACAUUAUGGUAUAAGAGCGGCUCCAUGUUUCCUCUUGAGCGAUGGUGGGGCAAACCUCAGUAAGGACGCUGAGUCCCCAAGAGGGGGUGUAUAUAACACCCUAAGCAAAUCCCACAUCGGCAAAGUACAAGAGAGAUGUUGGGUUUAUAAGGGGUGAUCCACAACUUAAUUAGCAAGACACGUUUUGGGCCUUCUAUAGGCGCCCCAGAAACAAACAAGCACAUCUAUUUUUUCAAAAUUAAUAGUUUAGUCUUAAAUGUGAACUUAUUUGGUGGCUGCAAAUUAUGAACCCAUUUUUUAUUUCGGUGAAAACGAAAAUGUAAAAUGCAAAACAGAAAACGUAAAAUGAUAUAAUGAAAUAAUUACAUAAUUAAUGUUUUCCCUAAGAUAUAGUAAAAGCGUAUGUUUCACCACAAAAUUUUGAAGCCGUACCGGUCCUCCCAGCCGUUUUAUUUAUUUAUUUUUAGUCUUUACAGAAAUGAAACUAAAACUCUCCUCACCCACGAGUGGUUGAAUCUAAGCCACUUAAAGUUAAUAAUUCAUGAAAUGGUGCCUUUGUUUGGUGGCGGUAGCGGGGCCUUGGCCUCUGAUUAAUAUUAUUCUUUUAGCGUGUGGAUUCCACAAAUCAAAACCCUUCGGAAUUUUAAUUAUUAUUUACCGAAAUAUCAUUUUCCCUAUGGCUUCUACAUAUUAUGCCUAUAGCUAGUGAUUGUUUUGUAAUUCAUAUAAAAAUUUAAUUUUAGAAUUGUAACUAUUUUAAUUAACUGAUGUAAGGUAAAUUCCUUAACAGAUAAAUUCAUCUAUGUUCUCUUAGAUUAUAAAAGAUAAAAGUAGCGUAAUUAAGUUCAAGAGAAAACUGAUUUUAUUAAAUUUCAAGGACGAAACGAAAAAUAAUAAUAAGAGAGAUAAAAGAAUUUUUAAGAGAACAAGAGUAUCAUUCGACAAAUAAAUUUAAAUUCAUAAAUUUUUCUGCCCGAUCUAAUAUUAAUUUUUAGCAGCAAGCCUACGGCACAAGCCACAUAUAUGCAUAAUUUUUAUUGGUUAAAACGUGACAUUGAUGAUGUUGAAAGAACAAAUAAAACCUCCAAAUAGAAAUACUUUAUAUAUGAAUAAUUUCUUUAUAGUAAUAAAAAAUCGUGGCCCCAACUUGCGACCAGUUAUAAUUAAAAAUAAAUUUCAUAUUGUAAUAAGUUAUAUUUUUUUAUAGGUCCCAACUUAAUAAACUUACUUUUACAUAAUAAUAAUAUUUCAAAAAUAUAUGUCAUGUUACAUUAAAUAAUUAUUAAUUUAUUAAUACAUGACAUAAUUUACCCCUAUAUCACUUGCAUUAGUAAUAAUUAAGUAAAGACAAUAAUUUUUGUACUAUACUUUUAUUGAGUUAUAACCUCUUUAUAAGAAUAAAUUUAUCCGGUCUCAACAAUAUGACUAUAUAGAGAAUUUACUGUACCAGGCUUUUUUAUGCGUAUAGAAGCAGGACGUGAACACAAAAACACAAGUUUAAUUAAUUUAUUUGAAAAUACAUAACAUGUUUCAGACAAGAAAAUUAGAUUAAACUCAAGUUUGGUAGUUAAUUUAUUUGAAAAUACAUAACAUGUUUCAAACAAAGCGAAGAUUAAAUUCGAGUUUGUUAAGCACAAAAACUCUCUCGCAUAUGCCGCAAGCUAGCUUAUUAGAAAGAGCUGACCAAAUCACCCUCCGAUGAUGAUGAUCUUGUUGCAAUAUUACUGUUUCCAUUGACCCUCCUGCAGUUCAAUCUAAUCUCCCCUUGAUUUCCUGCAGUGGUUUCAAAUUGCCCAUUCUUAUCAUUGAGGUCACAAAGUUUUUAAAGAAAGCAUUCUGGUUCCUCCCAAAGUCCUCGACAAUGGCAGCGGUAUCGGCACCAGGAGUCGAAAACAACUCUUGAUCACUCUGCAGAAGGCCUUUGCGGAGUCUAAGAUUGG
rnacentral:lncRNA from 1 species